rnacentral:lncRNA from 1 species
GUAUAUUGCCAGACAGAUUGUUUCGUGCAAGGUCUAAAACCUGAAGAUGACUCAUCUGGCAUAUUUCAUUUGGAAUGUGGCCGGCAAAAUUGUUUGAUCGAAGGCGAAGGAUUUUCACAUUUAAGAGGUUUUCUCUAACCCAUGUUGGAAUAGUUCCUGAAAGAUUAUUUUCCCCAAGGUCCAAGGAUAUCAAUUGGUUAUUCUUCUUCAAACUGGUUGGAAAUAUUCCUGAGAGUGUGUUGUUACGAAUUUGUAAAGACUGCAGGUCCAAGGAACCCAUGGAUUGGGGUAAGUUCCCAACAAAAUGGUUGCUUUGUAAAUUUACAUCCACAAGAGAUGUCCAAUUCAUCCAGCAAUCAGGUAUCUCUCCUGACAAAUUAUUUGAUGCAAGAUUCAGAAAUUCUAAUUGCAUUGGCUCGUCCUGAUCGUUACAUAAAAAGUCAUUCAUGGAUUCAGAGAAUGAAUUGCUUGAAAGAUCUAACUGAAGCACAUCACUUGAAAGAUAGGGUAAUUUACCAAACAAGUGAUUUGAGCUUAGAUCAAUAGUUGGGACAGAUAUUGGAUUCUUUAAUGUAGUCCCAAUCUCACCAUGGAUAUGAUUACGAGAGAGGCUUAAAUACAAAACCUGAGAAAGUGCUUCCCACAUCUGUGUGGGAAUAGAAUCGAAAAUCCCCGUGUUAGAUAGUCCAACAUAUUGAAGUUGGUUUUGUGACUGAAUCCACAAUGGAAAGCUGGGACCUAACUGCCAUGAUGUCACUUCCAAAUAGGUAAGUUGAAAAUUAGGAAUCCAAUUGGGACCCACUUUUAAAGUUAAAUUGUUCCCCGAUGCGACAAACUCCGUCAAGCUUGUAAGAUUUGCAAGAUCAUCUUCCUUGACAACUCCGUGAAAAAGAUUGCCGUCAAUAUGAAGAGAUAACAAUUUAGAGAGUGAUCCAAGACUUUCAAAUGGAUUUCCACUGAAUUUAUUCAUAGAGAGAUCGAGAUAUCUUAAUGAUGAAAGUUUUCCAAAUGAUCUAGGAAGAGCAUCACCAAUUGAGUUGUUGGAAAAAAGUAACGUGUCAAUAUUUUUAAAUGCCCCAAUAUGAUCUGUCAGAUUGCCUGAAAGUCGUGAACUCUGAACUGCAAGUGUUGUGAGUCCAUGGGAAAUACAAGGAGCAAGAAUUUCUAAAAGUUCAUUAACCUGUUGGUUGAGUUUGAGAUAUGAUAAAUCUAUCACCCUUAAGUUGCAGAGAUUACCCAAAGAAGUUGGAAUGUUUCCUUCAAGUUGACUAUAUGACAAAUGAAGUUCAACAAGAGAAGUCAAAUUACCCAAAGAAGUUGGAAUGUUUCCUUCAAGUUGAUUACCUGAUAAAUCAAGUUCAACAAGAGAAGUCAAAAGAGAAGUCAAAUUACCCAAAGAAGUUGGAAUGUUUCCUUCAAGUUGAUUACCUGAUAAAUCAAGUUCAACAAGAGAAGUCAAAUUUCCCAAGGCAUCAGAAAUAGUCCCAUGCAAGUUGCUGGAACUUAGGUCCAAAGACGUGAGACGAUGAAGACCGUAUAAGCAAUCAGGUAUAGAAGAUGAGAAUGAAUUGAAAGAAAUGGCAGGGGAAUAACUAGUAACGGAAAGAUGGAGAGUUUGCAGAGAUGAGAAGUUGAGCAAGGAUGGUUCAUUAUAGUGAGGGAGUGUGCAGUAUGACAAAUAUAGGUGGGUCAAAGAAGGAAGAGAUUGGAGAGUGUGUAGCCAAUGAAAUGCUUUGGAUAGGUUUGCAUAACUCAAAUGAAGAUAUUCAAGCUUCCACAUAUUUGAUACCCAUUCUACAUUUUCAGCAUGAUAAUCACCUCCAAGUCCAAGAUACACCAAAUUGGAGAGAUUCCCAAUCUGAGAUGGAAUCUUCCCCAUCACUCCAGUAAGAGAGAGGUCGAGGUGAGUCAAGGAGGUCAUUGCACAAAGGAAAGAAGGAAUUGCCAUACCUUCAAAAUAAUUGGCGCUCAAGUCAAGAUAUCGAAGCUUAGAGAGAUUCCCGAUCUGAGAGGGUACUGUUCCGUUGGCAAAAACAGAACUCAGGUCAAGAUACACCAAAUUUGAGAGAUUCCCAAUCUGAGGAGGAAUCUUCCCACGGAAUCCAGUAUGAGAGAGGUUGAGGUGAGUCAAGGAAGUCAUUGUCCCAAGGAAAGAAGGAAUUGACAUACCUGCUCCAAGAAAUCUAUUGCCGCUCAAGUCCAAGUAAUUCAAAUGCUUUAAAUCAGCCAAACAAGGACUUAUCUCUCCACCAAACUGGGAUCUCUCAUAAGCUUCCUCAUCGUAGAAAGCAGAAUCAUAGUAGUCAUAAUAGAAAGCAUCAGAAAGUGAAGAGUUGAGGUGAAGCUGAAGAACAUGGGAAGUGACGUUGUGGCAGAGGACUCCAUACCAGUGGCAACAGUUGGUAUGAUUAUGAUUCCAAGACCAAAGCCUAUUUGAAGGAUCAUUCAGAUUAUUCUUAAUCUUCAAAAGUGUCUCACGCUCACUUGGGAUGCACACACUCUCUCUGCAUGGUAAGCUACAUAACCAAAGGUGGAGAAAGACAAGAAUAUAAAUGGAGGAGGAAUUCAUGAUCAUGCAAGUGUUGCUUCUGCAUAUUAAUCAUCAAACUUCUAUUAUUUAUACUGCUGCCCUGCCUGUUUUUUUUCUUCACUUUCAUUGUUUUUUUUACCUUUUUUUAUUAUUGUGCCUAAUACUAAAUUAUCGACUUAAUUAUCCAAUUUUCUCGAAUUAAUUCUUAGAAUACGAAAAUUUUUGUAUUUACUGUAUCAAUCUCCCUUUUUAAAAUUCCUAUAUACACUACAUUCAUAAAAAAAAUCAAAAUUAAUAACAAAGAAAUAUGAUUUAUUCUUGUGCUGAAUACUAACAUAAGAAACAUUCUUUUUGGUACAGUUUUUUUUUUUUUUUUACAAAAAUAAGUAAGAAUCAUUUUAUUUUAAUUUACCCUAUAAUACUGCUUAAAUGAAAAUCUGGUGUCAUUAAAAUUCAAAUUUUAACUUUUAUUUAAUCAAUCCUUUCGUUAAACUUUUGUUACAUACAAAAGUCCAAUAUUUUUUUAAGGAAAAAUCAAGUCUUCUAUUUCAUCAAAUCCCAACCCAUGAUUAAUAUUAAAUCAAGUCUUCUAUUUCAAGCCAUGAUGUUAAGGUCUGACUUCUUCAACUUGAACCAUAGGUCACUGCAUUACCUUCAUAUCAAACAAAUGUUGCGAGUUAAGUCAAGCAAGGAAAAAAAAUAUAAUUGAUGAAUAAAUCAAUUAUAGGAAAAGAGUUUACUUUAAAGACAAUUUUGGUUAAAAAAAUCUAUAAAAAAAAUUAUUUCGUUCCAAGCUAGCUAUUUAAUUUUGAUCAAUUUUUCAACUCACAAAAUAAUAUUCUUCUUAUAUGUGAAAAAGACUAAUUAAUCUUCAUUGUCAUUAAUGAUUGUUGUGUUGUCUAUUUCUAAUUGUUUUUUUAAUCAUAAUAUUAUUUUCUUUUUUAUUAAAAAUUAAUUAGUGAGAUACAAAGAAGUUUAAAUUGCUUGUUUAGCUUGGUCUAUCAUAAUUAUUGAGAUCAUAGUUUUUCCUUUUAUAAGUCUUGUUCCAAAUUUCUCCAUGUAUUGUAGAUCAUAUUUAACUUAAAAAGUAAAUUAGAAGAUCUACAAAGAAGUGUGGCAUGUUUUUUAAAUUAUAAAAUUAUGGUCCUAGCUAUUUAUUGUUAGACCACAAGUCUUCAUAUAUUAAAGUUUUUGUCUAAAUUUCAUUUAUGGUGAUAGUUUAAGAAUAGUGAUAGAAGAGAAAAAUAAAUAUACAGUUUAUUGAAAUAUCUAACUCAAUUAAUUGAUGAAUACAUCAAUUAUAGAAAAAGGGUGUACUUUAAAGACUAUUUCUAUUAAAAUAUCUAUAAAAAAAUUAUUUCGUUCCAAUAUAAUUAUUUAAUUUUAAUCAAUUUUUCAGUUCACAAAAUAAUAUUCUCUUAUAUAGGAAAAAAAUACUAAAUUUAAUUAUCAUCAAUUGGAAAAGUUAUUGUGUCAUGUAUUUUUAAUUGUAUUCGAACUUGAAUAUUAUUUUAUUUAUCAUAUAAAAAUUAAUUAGUUAUAUAAAAGAAGUAAAAAGAAUAUUAACUUUUUUUCUCAAAAAAAAAAUCAGUAUCAUAUUUUAUGUUUUUUACAAGUUAUCAACUUAAAUAAGAGGAGAAACAUAAUUUUAAUUUCCAUUUUACUUUUUAAAUAAUUGCAAGUGCCAAAUUUAAAUAAUCAUGAGAAUACUCAUGUUUAAUAUAAUAUUCUAAAAAAAAAAUCCAUACGAUAACUUAAACAAUCUACAAACAAAUAUAAUUUAUUCUUGUGCUAAAUACUAAAACAAGAAACAUUUUUUUAUUGUAGUUUACUGUAUAGAAUUGCUUAAAUCAAUGAAAUUUUUAUUUUAAGAAAAUAUUAAUGAUUUUUUUAAAACUUUAAGUAGUUUACAUCAAAGAUAAUUAAAUUUGACUUAAUUAGUCUUCAAAUUUUAACUAUUAUUCAAAUCAAACCUUUCGUUAAGUAAACAACAAAAAGUCUUGCCUUAUAAAAUUCAAAUAUUCUAUUACAUGCGGUUUGAACCCAUAAUUAAUUUUAAACUAUCAAAUUUUAAUUAUUCGAAAUAAAAGAAAUGAAAACAAAAUUGUCUACUAGAGAAACCGCUGGCCACUCCACCAAAUCCAUAUCAAGGUCCCCACUUUUCCAACUUGAACCAUAAACUACUCCAUCAAGUCCAUGUGAAGGUCCUCCAAUUUUUCAUCUUGAACCUUAGGACACUCCACAAAGUCCAGCCAUAUUAAGGUCUCUGACUUCUUCACCUUGAUCCAUAUCCCAUAGGCCACUCCAUCAAUUUCAUGACAAUGUCCCCCCACUUCUUCAACUUGAACCAUAGGUCACUACAUUACCUUCAUAUCAAGUUCUUUAUAAUUGACAACAAAUGUUUAGAAUUAAGUAAGGAAGGAAAAAAUUAUAAAUGAUGAAUACAUCAAUUAUAGGAAAAGAAUCUAAUUUAGAGACUAUUUAGAUUAAAAAAUCUAUAUAAAAAAAGAUUAUUUUGUUCAAAUUUAGUUAUUUAAUUUUGAUUUAUUUUUUAAUUCAUAAAAUAAUAUUCUUCUUAUAUGUAAAAAAAGACUAAUUUUCAUUGUUAUUAAUUGGAAAGAUUGUUGUGUCGUUUAUUUCUAAUCGUAUUUUAACCUGAAUAUUAUUUUAUUUUCCAUUAAAAGUUAAUUAGUGAGAUAUAAAGAAGUGUAAAUUGCUUGUUUAACUUGGUCUAUCAUAAUUAUUGAGAUCAUAGUUUUUUCUUUAAUAAGUCUUGGUCCAAAUUUCUCCAUGUAUUAAAAAGUAAAUUAGAAGAUCUACAAAUUAAGAAGUGUGACAUGUUUUUUAAAUUAUAAAAUUAUGGCCCUAGCUAUUUAUUGUUAGACCACAAGUCUUCAUAUAUUAAAGUUUUUGUCUAAAUUUCAUUUACUUAUGUGGUGAUAGUUUAAGAAUAGUGAUAGAAGAGAAAAAUAAAUAUACAAUUUAUUGAAAUAUUUAACUCCCGUGUGCGAAUUAGUCAAACUCCCUUGUCACUAGGUCCAUCUUGUGAUUAAAAAUAUAAUCAAACAAUUCAAUAAAACACAAGUCUAAUUGUCGCUAUUGUAAUUCAAAUAUUGCAUUAUAUUUUUUAUGUUAAUAAAUUUUUUAAAAAAGAUUGGUGUUUUUAGUAGAAUGAAAGUAAUUAAUAGAUUGAUUUCAAUGCAUUAAUUGAAUUCUGAUUUGACUUUUAAUUAAAAAACUGCAUAUAAAUGUUUUUAAAACUAUUGUGUGGUUUCCCUGGAAAAUAUUUGAAUUUGAAAAGAUUUUUUUUAUGAAAUUAAAAUUAAAGAUCAAAAAUAUAAAAGUUUAAAACUAUUGUGCGAUUUUGGUCUAUUGUCAGUUCCAAUUGGGAGAAUUGGAUUGGAUCCACUAGGCAUUGCAAUUUCAAUCCCUCCAUCCAUCUUACUUUGAAUAUUUAACAGAUAUUUACUGGCAUGACACUAGAUGAAAGGUAGAUAAUAUGACAACUAUCAUGUUGCCUAACACAUACUGAACUAAACUUUUGAUCCCUUAGAAUAUUGCAGUUAUAAGGAAGCAGAAGUGAAUAAGCCACAUCUAAGGGACCAAAUUAAACUUACAAAAUUAUAAUACCUAAUUUACGUAAUGCAUGGAGAUCAAAAGUGAAAUGAAACUAAAUAUAAAUUAUGAGAGCAUUCUAAAUCUGUCUUCAUUGUCUGAGGAGCAAAAGGACCUGACAAGUGUUUUGUAUUUUUUUUUUGUACAUGCAUAUAUAGUGUAUAUGCUAUUCUUUUUUUCUAUUUUUUCCCCCUACAUUUAUGAUCUCGGAACUGAAACAGUGAGAGAAACCGAUGUGAAAAUAGAUAGGGUGGAUGAAGAACUAGACAUCGGCCAGUGGAAGAAAAUGAACAGAUGGAAAACCAUCUUUUUGGGUAUUUCCCUAUUUCUUUUAUAAAGAUACCAGCUCCUCUCUCUCUAAUAGACACACUGGUGAUACAGGUGUGAUGGAAACCCUAUAUCUGAUAGCUUGAAACUUUAUUUUGUAUGCGGGAAUUCAAUACAACUAGUGACCCUUGUAUAAAACGAUAGGAACUAAUAUGAAUAAAAAAAUAAUAUUUCAUGAUUUUUAAAAUUUAAUCAAUCAUGAUUUGUCAAAUGAACUUGUUAAUGAGUAUUAUAGAAUAAGUGCAUCAAUACUCAGGAAAUGGGAAUGUGGAAUGUAUCAGAGUAAGGAACAGCGAGAGGGAAGAUGUGGAAGAGCUUAGAAACUGCAGAAUCCUAUGCAAGCUCCAACUUUCUACACUAAUUAAAUUCAUUCAGGCAAAUUCUUAGUUACAUGUUGUGUAAAACAAUCUUCUUAAAUCCAAUCACCGAGUGUGUCAUUUCAGUUAUUUUAAUGCUAAUCAUUGUUAGUGCACAGAUAGUAGAAGACAAUAAUGCGUCAUAAAUACAAAACAGAAUUUGAUACUCAAGUCUCAAGCUCGUCUAGUUCUCUUAACAUUAAGAACAUUUAAUACCAAUGAAAGCAAAACAGACAGAACACCACAGAUGAACAGGUACAUAGUAUGGUAAACCUUUUCACAUUUUUAAUGGCUAGACUAACACGUUGUAAUGUCUCACUUCUUAACAGUUAACAGGUAAACUCAUAAUUUCCCAAGUAACCUUCUUACCUUCAAAACUAUCAUCACAUAAAUCAGAUCUCUCAAGUGGUCAAGAUAAUGAAAAUAAGCAAGCCUCCAAGUUCUGUUGAAGAAAACAACACUGCAAAAACCCCAAAAUCCUGCUGCAAAUCCAACUCCCAUACCGAUAUAAAACUCUGAUGUUCCAAAGAAAUUACCAUCACCGUGUCCAACAGAAGCACUCUCCCUCAACCAUUCCUUGUUUGUGCAAUUUUUUGUUACAGGAGGACCACAAAGCUCAGGAUUUCCAGUGUAGCUAAGUUCAUCAAAGCUCUGAAGUUGGGUGCUCGUGGGAAUUCUGCCUGAUAAGUUGUGGUAUGAUAGAUUCAGGAAACUGAGGAAGGACAAAUCAGAUAAGCUUUGAGGGAUUUGACCUGAAAUGUUGUUUAGCGAGAGAUCAAGGGAUUCUAACAAUUUCAUUUUUCCCAUGUCAUUUGGUAUCUCUCCAGACAGAUGAUUUCUAGACAAGUUCAAAAACCGCAAAGCAAAUAGCUUGGAAAUUUCAGAUGGAAUUGCUCCAGACAGCUUAUUACUUGAAAGAUCAAUCAUUCUCACCAAUAUCAGAUUGUCUCUGUACUCUAACUCAUCUUUUUUGGGAACUAAGACAAGAGUUUCCUUGUAGUGGUUAUAACUGAAGUCAGAGCCAUAUGAAUAACUUGAAGGGUUUGCAAAGAAGUCAUCUUCACCAGCCAUUGUUUUCAUGUCAUCCAAACAAUUUGGAAUGGAUCCUGACAGGCUGUUAUUGCCAAGAUCCAGCACUAUAAGGGAAGAAAGUUGACACAUCUUUUGAGCAAUGCUGCCAUUGAAAUUGUUGGAUCUUAGACGAAGAACCAUUAGAUAUUGCAUUUCCCACAUCCAAUCUGGUAUUGUGUCAGAAAGUUGGUUAUUUCCCAUGUCUAUGAAUUUCAUUGUAGAGCAAUUUUGCAGUGUUGAAGGAAUAUAUCCUGAGAAGCGGUUGUCGUCUAACAGCAAAGACUCAAGUUGAGACAGAUACCCCAUGGAGUUUGGAAUUUCACCAGACAAAUUGUUACUGCCCAAGUUCACAUGCACCAAAGCUUGCCAAUGCACCCAACAGUGACCAAGAUCACCAGACAAGACAUUAUUUGAAAAAUCAAGCACACUUAACUUAUUAGUAGCAUUUGGAUUUCCACAUAAAAAGGGAGAAAUUGUUCCGGAAAUUGAGUUAUUGGCAACAUUCAGCACUUCAACAUUUGCAGACACACUUGGCAAUCUACCCUUGAACAAAUUAGAACUCAAAUUUAUCACGCUGGAAUUUAGAAAGAUGUUAGAUAGGUCUCCCCUUAACAGAUUGUUUGACAGAUCCAGGAAUUCAAUUUGCAAAGUCCAAAUCCAAAACCAACUUGGAACCAAGUCUGCAAUACCUGCCUUAGACAUUGUCAAAACCUUCACAGAACUUUGCCUUUUUAGCCAUUCUGGAAACUUAGGACCUAUUCCAAAGGAGCUCAGUAAAACAUAUUCAAGCUGAAAAGGAGGAGCCCAUCCAGAGUUGACACUGAGGAACAAGUUUGUCCAAGACAAACGUAGUUCCUUUAAUGUAAAAAGUUUUACAAAAUUUGACUCUUUUAUAGAUCCUUCUAACAAAUUAGAUGAAAGGUCUAACGUCACUAAAUUUGAGAGUGUUCCAAGAGUUACAGGCACAUCACCAGUCAAAGAAUUAGCUCCAAGAUUUAAUACCUGCAGGUUUUUGAGGAACUCAAAACUCUUAGGAAUGGUUCCAUUCAGUCAGUUGUGAGCAAGGUUUAAAGUUCUCAAGGAUGACAAGUUUGCAAAUGGUGAGGGAAUUGGACAAGUAAAGGUAUUAUUACUGAGAUCUAGAACUUCAAGAUGCUUAAGCUGGCCUAAUGAAUCUGGAAGUGGCCCACUGAGUUGAUUGUUCUGCAGGUCUAGAUUUUUUAUGUUCUGUAGGCUUGAUAUUAUUUGUGGAAUUUCACCCUGUAAAAGGUUACUGUGUAAAUCAAGUUGGACAAGAGUUUUGCUGAGAUUAAAUAGCCAUGAAGGGAUUUGCUGAUUGAGAUUGUUAUUUGAAAGAGCAAGGACUUGGAGAUGUGUGAAGUUGGUUUUUCCUUUUGGUGGUCCUAAGUUAUCAAUUUGACAGCUCUCCAAGUGUAGUUCUGAAAGAGAUGGAAGUGCACUCAGUACUUGAAGCCAGUUACCUUGUUUAUGAAGGUCUGAACCACUCAAAUCAAGGUACUCCAAGGAAGAUAGCCUUGAUAUCCAAUUAAGGUUAUCUAUCUGAAGAGCAUAAUUGUAUCCAAGAUUAAGGUGCUGCAGGUUUGAGAGGUUUCCUAGUUGAUGAGGGAUUAAUCCCAUGAACCCACUUAAGCUAAGGUCCAAGUAUCUCAGACUCUCCAAUGAGCCUAGGAAGCUUGGUAUUGGAGUAAGAACAAAAUAAUUUGAACUCAAGUCCAAAUGAUUCAAAUAUUUUAGUCCAAGCAAAGAAGGACUAAUCUCUCCAAUCAACUCCCUAUAGGGAGAGCCCACAGGUGUGUCCAGAUUGAUUUCCAUGACUUGACCAGUGUUGUUGCAGGGAACCCCUGGCCAUGUACAGCAAUCCGAUUUGUCAGACCAUGAUGAAAGCCUGUUUGAAGGGUCUGCUAGUCCAUGCUUCAAGCUGUGGAGUGCAUUCCUUUCCUUCUCACUGCAAGUCAUAUUGAGCCUUGCUGCCUUGCUUGCACUGAAGUGGAGAGUUGUUGCAGUGGACAAUAUCAAGAGAAGAACAUGAGUUGCAAAUAGCACUGCCAUGAAGAAGAAGGAAGACGAAAAAGGUUGAAUCCACAAUUUUCUGGUUCACGGUUGGUAUUUACUACUAACAAUGCCUAUGUAUGAUAUAUACCGUAGAAGGGUUAGCAUUUAAAAUUUUACUCCACUAAUGGUGGUGGUUGCAAAAUGCACACAUAUGUAGAGGUAUAUAUGUCAACAACGAGACAUUUAGGAUUAAAAGUGUCUAACCACACCACCAUUAUUUUGCACUAGUUUAUUUUAUUUUGAUUUAAUUACUCUUUUAGUCCUUAUAGUUUAUUUUAUUUUGAUUUAAUUACUCUUUUAGUCCUAUAAUUUAAGACAUUCAUUUUGGUUUCUAUAUUUACAUUUUUGUUACCUUUUUGUCCUCGCGGGGAAGAUUCAACUCACACAUAAACAUGAACAAAAUUAAUAAAAAUAGGGAAGCAAGCUCAGGUACAACUGAAGUGUAAUGGAGGUAUGAGACAAAGGCACUACACAUUCCAUUAUUCUUGAGUCUGCCACCGACCUCUGAAAGCUUAGCAUUUGCCAAUUGCCAUGAUGUAAUCUCCUUCUUGACAGUCUCUCAUCAAGUUGGAGUGGUAUCACAGCAUUGAACUAAGUUGAUCGUUCCAAUGGGAUGAUGGUUUUGAUUGCUGCAGAUAAAGUGUGUGAUUGUGAGUUUCUGGUUCCAUGAGUAACAGAUCGAGGUGUGGUAGUUUGUGCCUUCAUGGUUGGGAUGAUGUUGCAGGUGCCGGUUUCUUGUUGAGAGAAAAGAUGAUCAGCCAUGUCUCGUGUGUGCAUAGGAGAGUGUCUUUGCCCUCUCCAUAACAUUAGUUUCAACAAUUGACUUUAGUCGAAACUUGAUGGUGAGAAUCAAAGAGUAAAAAAAAAAAAAAAUUCAACCGGGACUAAAAUAGAAUGAUUUAAACUAUAAGAACUAAAAAGAAAUAUUGUCCUAACUUUACAAAAGGAUAAUUAAACCUUUUAUUUUUUUUGUAAAAACAGGUUUGGAAUUUGCAACUUUGAAUUCUAUCUAAUUAAGCUCUCAGUCUUUCAUUUUUGCAACUCUAUUUGGGUAGAAAGAGAAGAAAUCUGGGCCUAACUCAAAUCUAAAAGCUAGUUCAUAGGGUGAGGAUUGCCCUCACCUUAUAAACUCUUUCUUGAGAUUAUCUCUAACCAAUGUGAGACUUGAAUUUUUUUUUUUUAAUUCACCCCUCACGUUUAACACUCUUUGGGCAUGGUGCGUAAUCCUUUUGAAUGGAUCUAGGAUAUACCAAGAAAAAAUUUGGGCCUAACGGAAAGAAACCAAGUUUGAAGAUACAACAUUUGAUACUAUAACUGUUUGGUGUUUUGAAAAUCCCACUCACAUAUUUCCAAAUGUUACAGAAGACUUUGAUUCAGUGGUUAUUACGAAUUCCUUCCUAGCCUUUUUUACCAAGUCAGGGAAUUUGCAUUGUUGUGCAUGAUGGCUGCCACAAGGACCCUUGUACCAACCCAUUAGUGCAAGUGGUUUUUUUCUUAGGAGAAUUGAGAAACAAAUGAUGUGUUUUAUAAAAGGAAUUCUUUUGCUUUGAAUUUUGAACUUAUAAUGUUUUUUGUUUCCCUCACAGAACAAGUGAUGAAACUCUUGACGCCAUACGUACGCCUACUUUGAUGCUCUUUUUUCAUUCCACUUUUAUCUUAAUGGUAUCUCAAGUUAAUUAGAAUGUACGUAUAAUAAAAUAAUGAGAAUGGCAACUACUAGUAGUACUUAAUUAGAAAAAAAACUAUCAAAACUAAAACGAAAAUAACUUUGAUGAUGUUAAUACAUGAGUUUAAUUUAGAUAGACAGUGUAAAAAUUUAAAUUGUUAAUUAAUUAGAUAUCACCUAAUGAUUUGUAAAACAAUUACUAAAAAAAGUUAUAGGAGAAUAUAUAUAGUUAAUUGCAAUUCUAAGUGUAUUUAAAUAGAAUUCUUAAUUAACAUAUCCUUAUUGUGAUUUUUUGUAUAUUUUUUAUUUAUUGAGACAGUGGAAUGAGACCGCACUAUAAUUUUCAUCACGGGUGUGGUUGUCAAAUAUAAUAGGGAUGGUUAGUGAGGAAUUUUGGAAUGUUAGUUGGUUUUCGACUAUAGCCUCUUGUUCAGUGUUAACAUUUUCAUUAGAGUUAAGUUGCUUUUAGGGAAGAACAAAUGUCUUGAAAUUCCCUCUUCUCCAGAAGCAGUUUUAUUGUGUCUUUAUCGAAGCCAUCUUCUCCAGAAGCAGUUUUAUUAGUGUUAUGUUUUUUUAUAUAUUUUUUAUAUUUAUUUCUUUUCAAAUUUGAUGACAACAUUGUCAUUUGGUCUUUCUACCCUUCACAUCAGCAAAUUGGACAAUAAAGAGACUCGGUCAGAAACAAAUAACUACUAGGGGUAAAAUAACACGAGAGAAUUUAACACUUUUGGAAUAGGAAAAUGUACUUUUUUUUAAGAAAAUAAAAUUAUGUUUUUAAUCCAUGAUUUAUAUUCGACUUUUUAUUUGAUCUUUUGACAAUUUUUUUCUUCAACGAAAAUCUCUAAUAUUUGAAAUCUUUUGCUUUAAAUUUCUAUCAUUAGUUAAAUAAUAAUGUAUCGGUUAAAUAUUCGGUAGAUUGUUGCAGUGGUCUCACACAAGCCAUGAAGACCAACAAGAAGUGUGUCUGCCUUAUUCUCAAAGACAGGGAUGAUCCUGACCUUGGCUUGAAGAUUAACAUGACAAUUGCUGUUGGUCUCCCUUCUCUUUGCAAAACUCCUGAUAAUCUCAGGGAUUACGUUUAGCCGCGACAGCAUUAGUGCACUGCAGUUAGUUAGGGGACAGAGAUAGUGCUUUUCCCAAAUUCUGUUAUCCUCAAAUUCUGUUAUUAUCUGCUAGAAAACAAUAAGCAGUGUAAAUUGAGAGGGAACUUGAAUAAGAUUAAAACAGAAGAAGCUGAGAAAACAUUUUCCCGUUGUUUUUGUUUUUUUGGAUUUUAGAACACUUAUUUUGGAUAGGAUUCUCCAAACUUAUAUAUUUUGGAUAAGAAAUUGAUUACUAAGUAGUCUAAAAUUAUUUUAUAAAACAGUUUCUUAACUGAGAAUACUCAGGCCCUAAAUCUUCCAAUUUUAGUAUAUUUCUAAAAAAAUCAGAAUAUUUGUGGUCUAAGUUUUAUGAUUAUCAAGCCUUUCAUUUUCCUUAAAGAACAAAAGAGUGUUACAUUCCAUUUACUGUGUAAUGAAUGGUCAACAAGUCAUGUACUUCAAACUUUUCUACUUUUCUCAUUCAUAACUAGACAAUAACACAUUUUAAAGGGGAAAAAAAGGGCAUCUAAAUCUGCCAAUUUUACUUUGUUUGUGUAUCUGUUAUCUCUGAGUUUUCAACUGCGAAAGUUAAAAAUAUUUGAGGUUUGAUUUUUUCUCAAGAAAUUCUUGUUUGAAACGAUUUGAACAGCACUUCUGCACUUGGAUCCUAAAUCACCUGAAGCUAAAGCUUUUAAUCAAAUUGGUCAGAAAUCCAAUGGUGGUUCUAUUAGUCCUUCGCCCACUACUUCUGGUAGUGAUCCUUUCAACAAAAUAUUUCAUUUUUAGAAUUUAUUUUUGACAUUGACAUUUGAGUUUCAAUGGUGUAGUACUAAAUUUUGCAUUUACUUUUAAUGUGUUCUUUUGUGCAUUCAGCUGAAGGAAGUUCCCAGAAUGGUAGAAACCAGGGGACAGAUGAAACGGCCACAGCUAAGAAGAAUAGCGCGUCUUAUAUCUGGAAGAGAUUGUUAGAAAGUUUGGUUGCAGUUGCAGGGCUUCUAAUUUAGCUUUCAUGAGCUUAACUCAAAUACUACCUAUAUAUUACCAUUCUCAUAUCAGGUUGAAACGUAAACCAUUGAUUAGUUGAUAGUGUAAAAAUAUUUACACUCGAGUGUAUUAAAUCUCUGACAGACUCACAAUAGAUAUUAUUGCAAAACCUUAUUGGAGAUUUAUUUUUGUGAGCAUUUUGCCUUUAAUCUCAUACAACUAAAUGCUUGUUACACAAAUCUUAUUGUUCAGUCCUAAAAGUCUUUUAUCUCUAAUAAGUAAUAACGACUUGUUGUAAUAGAAAUUAAAAUCUUAUUAUUUUUUUUAAGUACACUUGAGGAAAAUUUUGGUAUCCCACUUUUCAAUUGCUCAGUUCGUCCCCAUAUUUUCAAAUUUUACAAAUUUGAUUCAUUAGUUAACUUGAUAUCCAAUCUUUGAUGGAGAUGUUUAUGAGGCUAUAUGUGAAAAUAGAGUGUUGGCAUGGAUCUCAACUUUUAAUUCCUCAAUUUUGUUUGCCAUAUUUUUAAAAUUAUGCGAUUUUGGAGCAGGAGUGUUGUUUUUCAAAUAUACCAAUACUACUCAGGGAUUAUGCAUGGGAAUCUUCUUACAUGUAUACUACUAUGAAUUAUGUUGUCUGCUUAAAGUUGUAGCAGAAAAAUACAGGUAAUUUUGAAGAAGGGGAAAUGCAUUUCAGAAGAGAAUAAUUGAGAUAAUGUGGAACAUUUACCUUGUAGCAUUUCCAUUUUGAAAAAUAAUAAGUUUCUAACAUUACAAAAUUAACAAACUAAUUUUUUUUUCUCGUAAAGCCUACAACUCAUAUCCGUCAAGCAUGAUAUGGUUUCUUUAGCCAAGUACAAGAUAAUCUAGAUUCUACUUCUAUCCUCCCAAGAUAUUCUAAGAAUGAAUGAAUUAAGUUGAAUAUGGAAAAAAAAAAGUAUUAAGAUGUUAUGGUUUGAUUAUCCCACUAACUUUUCUCCCAUGAUUCAACUUGUUGAAUUGAGCUUUCCUUUCUCUGUAAUGUUGCAUACAAAGUUGGAGGAUCAAAAGGGACAGGCAUGGUGCAAAGGUCGGUAUUUGCAGGAACCUUGACCAAUGAUUCCAUCAUAAAUUUCUUUACUGAUCCUUCUGCUCCACAAACCAUUGACUCCACACAUAGUUCUGUAGCAUUAGCACUUAUGGAGGGUUUGUAUCUGAAGAGUUUAGCAUAUGAAUUAAGGAGAUGAAACAUGUAGUCGUACACGUAGUCCAUCUUUACCUCUUCUUGAAUGAAUUGAAAUCACUCGCCACCUUGCCAAUUUGUUGUGCCUGAUAAAUUUCACAAAUAGAAAUGAAAUGAAACAAGUUAAACAUUGAGAAAGUGUUGUUUAAUUUAUUUAUUUCCUCCAAAAAAAUUUGCAUUAGGAGGUAAUUCUUGUUUAUUAUUUGUAUAAGCUCACAUUUUAGUAUAUAGUAUAUCUGCAUAUGGAUUGUGCAAUGAUGUAAAGGAUGAAUCAUUGAUUUGCAUAUAACUAUUGACCCUGAUUAAUAUUAAGUGAUUCACCAUUAAAUCAAAUAUUCCGAGGUGAAUUCUUUUAGGAUUAAUUAACUUGGUAAGAAUUAUAUUCUAGCCUUAGUGAAGAAGCAAAACUUCAAGAUUACCCUUUGCUUGUGAUUAUUUCCCCAAUCCACAGCAAACUUAAUGGAUCUGCACUUGUCAUCGUCCUUUAUGGGCCAAUAGUGGUGCACUGGAAUCAGUCCUCUUGUGAAAAAAUCAUAGUAUUUAGGUUUUACAAGUAGAGUGGUAGAGUCACAUGACAGAAUGUAUUUUUGACUGAUGACCAAGCAGAACCUUCAAUGUACACCUUAUAUCUGCACGAUCAUGAUUGAAUAGGAACAUUUAUUUAUUGAUAAACUGAACAUAUAUAUCCAAUAACAAAAAUAUAUUAUAUAAUUAUAACUGAAGCAUGAAUGGACAGUUUGAAUGUUAUACCUAUAAGUGCAUUGACUAGGCAAGUCUGAUUUGUUGAACCCCUCUUGUGAUUCUCGAAACCAAUCCUGGAACAAAAUUUUCAUUUGUCAAGAAGGAAGCUAUAUAUGUGGCUUUAUUGUGAGUCAAUUAACAGACAAAAUAUAUUGUCCAGAAGUAAAAAAUCAGUAAUGUUCAAUAACAGGUUAUUUCCUUUGAUUUUGAAUGUACUUUUAAGUUGUGUAUUAAUAAAAGAUUAAAAGUUAAAAAAGUGUAUAAUGUUAUAUACAAUAUUGAUACUGGCCAUUGUGUUGCUUGAAUUUGCCUGUUAUUUCUAGUUUCUGCACACCAUGUGCUUAAGCCAAUUUUAUAUAAUGAAACUUUUGCUUAUGAGAAAUAUUACAUACAAAAUUAAUUUUUUCAUAUCCAAAUAAUAAAACUACUUUCAAUAAGUGUAAUCAAACAAAGCUAAUAAGAAGUGUGAUACCUGGGCAAAUAAACGAGCAUUCCAAUCUUGAUUUUCAGAAACAUUGCAUUUAAUGAGGUCUUGUCUGGUUUCAGCAACAGCUGGAUUACCUUUCCAGUAAGCAUAAGGCUCUCUGUUCAGCCAUGGUAUCCUCGUAGUGCCUUCUUUCAACCCUCCCAACAAAAUAUGCCAUGGCUUUAUAUUAAUCUCUGACCUGUGCACCACACAUACAAUACUUUUUACUUAUUUAAAAAUUAAGGUCCCGUUAGGGGUGAUUGUCAAUUUUCAAUUUUCCGUUUUAAAAUAUAAUUUCGAAAUACAAACAUGUUCAACAAAAAUUACACUAAGUUGAUUUUUUACAUCUUUCUGAAAUUUUUUUUAUCACAUUUAACAAACAAUUUACUGAUUAUUGUUUAUGUUUUAACCUUUACUGUUUAUUUUUUAAUUAUUUUUAUUAUGUUUAAUUCUUUUUUAUUUAUUUUUUUGUCAACAUUUUUUUAAUAUUACAUGAUUUUAUAAUGGAGUGUGAUAAGAUUAAAUAUUUAAAUUAUUUUAUCUAUUAAUUAAUUUUUUUAAAUCUAAAAAAUAAAAUAAACUGAAACUAAAAACUCAAAACAUAAACUGAGUUUAAUUUUUAAUGAUUUUGAAACUGAACAAUAAAAACUACUUCUAGAAUUGUGUCCCAAACAAUGUAAUAAAAAUAUAAUUCUAUUGUAUAUUUGUAUAACAAAAUCAUAUUUAUGUAAAAAGAAUACUUCUAGAAUUUUCUAAUUUUCUACCCACAUGGGUAAUGUGAAUAGCAAUAUAAAAUCCUACUUAGCCUGCUGCGAUACGAUAAACAAAUUUUGAAAAUUUUCACUCAUAAAUGGACUCCUUUAGAUGUCCACACAUAGGUCCUUCUAGACUUGAAUGACAAAUUGAAAGGUACCCAAAAAAAAAGGUUUUGAUAUAAUAAUCACAUGCUAAAAGGUUAAUUUGUGUAUUGUGAAUUAUUGAUUUUGUUUAUUAUAUAUCCUUUUUCUUUUCCUUUUUUUUCAAAAUUUUAAUUAUUUGACAGUGUGAGCUAGGUUUGUAUGAUGGCUAUGAUAAUGAGGAAUUAAGUUUGACAAUGGAGAGAACCUGUUGCUCCAAACUACCUUCGAUACUUUAUGUUUGAAAGAAAACAAAAAGAUUGCUCCUACUGGGUCCUCAUACAGAAACUAUCUCCAGAGAAUUAGGGAGAAUAAAGGAAGAACAAGGUAAGAAAAGGGCAAUUUUUAUUCAUGUCAUAGCUUGUUAUUUACAUAGAUAUAUAUAUCAAUCUUCCUAACAGAAUUGUAUCAAUUUGCUCAAGGAAUAUUACACGUAUCAAAGUUUGUUAUGCUUGUCGGAGAGGAUAAGACAAACAUGACCCAAGCUAGACCUCUACUGCUAAAUUGCCCACUGCUGCUAUAUUGUCCAAUUUGCCCCUUUUUUCUUCAUACGUAAUCACGAAGGUAAGAUGGCUUUGUGACCUUUCUCUUAGUCUUUUCUUCUUUUUGCACCUCUGGUUUGUUAAUUACUGCUACUCCCUUCAAUGUUUCUGUCUUUCUGAUGCUUGCUUCUAGUUCCUUAUCCCUGUUAUCUGCUUCUGAUAUCCUAUCACUAUCUCAUGCUGAAAAUUACUUAUGAUGUUUUUAUAUCAUAACACAACAUUAUUUUUCUUAUAAGAAUAAGAAUCUUACUAACAACUACUCUUAUAGCAUUAAUUAAGAAAUUCAAAUGAAAAAUAUAGUGAACAUUAAAAUUUUUAAAAAAAUCAUAAAUAGCAUAAUUUUAUACACUUCAAUGAAAAUUAUUUUUAAAAAAAUCAUAAAUAACAUUAUUUUCACACGGCCAUUAUAUUUAUUACAAGAAAACCUUUAGAUAAAAAUUAUUUUUUUUGUACUUUUAGCUUGGUCGUAAACAUUAACAUUACAUCACGCACACACACAUAAAAGGCAAAUCAAAUUAUUUUAUAUCCCUAAAUUUUAUGAGGAAGGAUGCUAUAAAUAUUAACAAUACAUCUCACACACACAAAGACAUCUAAAAUUAUAUCACUAAGUUUUAUGAUGUGUUACGGUUUGCUUUAAAAUAUGGUACAAGGUUUAUCAGAGACCGGCUUAUAAGUAAAAAUUAAAUUUGUCAUAAAGGGAGUAAAAUGGAAAAUAAUUAAUUUCUUGAUUAGAAUUAAAUUAGAAUAAGCUGUGCAGAUCUUAUAAUUUUUGUUCACUAAUUCGCCCACCACAUAAUGUUUUAAUUUUUCCAACUUUGUAUAAUCUAAAAAGUAUAAAAAUGAAGAUUACGACUUUCAGCCUCCAGUUCCUUUUAAUGGAAGAAGUGAGUAAAUGUUGAUGCGAUAUCGGUAGCUUUCAUGGGCAGUGACCUUGUCAAAGAAUGCUUGGGCCAUGAUCAUUCAAAAAUACCCUUAAUUGAUCUUUAGCUCAACAUUUUGUAUAAUACGUUAAUUAAUUUUUUAAAAUUAUGAUUACUAUCAAUUAUUUAAUUCUUAAAACUGUUAAACAAAAGACAUUUUGUUUAUUUGUUGAUAUUUUUAUAAGGUUAAAAUAUAUUUUUAAUCUUAUAAAUAUUUAAAUAUUGAAAAGUUAUUUGAAUAAAAUUUUAAUAUAUUUUUCGUUCUCAUAAAAAUAAAAUAUAUUAUUUUUUUCUUGAAGUAAGAUUUAAACAUUCCAAAUUAUUUAUUACACUUUUGAUUAUAUGUAUAAUUAAUGUAAAAAUAAUAUAUUUACAUCGAUUAUAUAUAUGUAUAAUCAAUAUAAAAAUUCAUAAUUUAAAUUUAUCUGAAUCUACAUUCAGACCAAAUAAUAAUAAUGUAUUUUAAUUUUGUAAAGAUAAAAAAAUUUAUUAAAUUUUUACAAAAAUGAAUUCCAAAAAUUUAUAUAUUUAUCAAAUAAAAAAUUAGCCAAGAUACUUCCUGCGAUUUUGUUAUCACUCUUCUGUUUCAGGCUUCAUAUUCCGUUAGUUUUGGUUGUAAUUAAUACUGAUCCUGGAACACUUGAAUAUUAAUUCAUUUUGACUCUUCAAAAAAAUUGUUUUAUAAAGAUAAAUUAUUUAGUAUUUUUUGUGUUAAUUUUUAAGUAAAGUUAACAUUUCAAUUUGAUAAUCAAUUUUAAAAGCUGACUUUUAUUAUUAUAUAAAGUAAAACUUGAAAAAGCAAAACGAAUAAUACUUAAAAAGUUACACCUAUUAUUUGCCCUUUUUAUAGUUAUGGUAAUUUAGAAUAUUACUCCAACAAUUUUGUUGGUUCUCAAGCAUCAUUGGUUAUCUAUGGAUAUCUCAUCAAAGUUCUUGGCCUGGCCGGCUUGGAGAGUCAAGUCUUGUAUGCAGCCACGAGUCACGACUUUAAUUAACACGAAAGAACUAAUUAUUCACUUCAAUGGUUAGUGACUAAAAUUAAAUAUAAGUUUUUUUCCUAUUAAACCACGUUUUCUUGAACCACUAGUCCCCCAUUUUUUGGAAACAAGAAUGUGAUACACAGAAUUGAACAACUAGUUGAUCUUAACUACAAAUAUGCUCAAUAUGCAAAUAUGUACAUCCCAAAACAGAAUUUAAAUAAGACUCUCAAAUUUGAAAAAAAAAAAAAAGAAAGAAAGAAAGAAGAUAGCAAUGACUACAAUGGAAAUUGAACAACCUGGCAAUACAAUGAUACAACAUCGGUUGUAAGCAACACUAAACAGUGAUACUAUACGAGGAAAAAGAUUGAAGUUUGAACCACAGAUGAUCAAGGAAAUGAAAAUAGACAUGCCGCCAUGAUCUACAAAUCAGCAAAGGAGCAAUCACUAUCCAAAGUCCCACAACAAAUCCAAUUGUCGCACUAACAAAAAACCAAUUCACUCCAUGCCCAUGACUUCCUUCAUAACUAUGAGUUUUCCCAUUGGAGCUGCAGUUUAUGGGCAGUGGUGGACCACAUAGAUUGUUGCCAAUGAAUCUGGAGGCAUCAAAGGUUUGCAAUUGAGUUCCUGUUGGAAUUUUUCCCUUCAAAUGAUUAUAAGACACGUCUAGCAUGCUCAGAAAGCUCAAAUUAGAAAUGGUUGGAGGAAUUUCACCAGAAAUUUGAUUCCUCGAAAAAUCAAUGGUUUGUAACGAUCCCAUAUUACCAAUACCUUCUGGAAUAGGACCAAUCAAUUGGUUGUGGGACAAGUUCAAAAAGUUCAAUCCAUUUAGAUCUGUGAUUUCUCUAGGAAUUUCUCCUAAUAAUUUGUUACUUGACAGAUCAAUACUUGUUACCAAACCCAGAAUGUUUCCAUACUCAUCUCCUCUUCCUUUUAGCCAUAGUAGCACACUAACUAUACCUGAUACCGAAGAGUAUCGUGUAUUAUUUGGUGCUUGAGAAUAGAUUUGGGGAUCUGUACUCCGGUUCACUAGUGUCAUGGCACUCAAGUUACGGAAACAGCUGGGUAUAUUGCCAGACAAAUUAUUUUUUGCAAGGUCUAAAACCUGAAGAAGACUCAUCUGACAUAUUUCAUUUGGAAUGUGACCGGAAAAACUGUUUGAUCGAAGGCGGAGGAUUUUCAUAUUUGAGAGCUUUUCUCCAACCCAUGUUGGAAUACAUCCUGAAAGAUUAUUUUCUCCAAGAUCCAAGGAUAUCAAUUGGCUAGUCUUCUUCAGACUGGUAGGAAAUAUUCCCGAGAGCAAGUUGUUACGAAUUUCUAAUGACUGCAGCUCAGCCAAGGAACCCAUGGAUGGGGGGAAGUUCCCAACAAAAUGGUUGCUUUGUAAAUUCACGUCCACUAGAAAUGGCCAAUUAAUCCAACAAUCAGGUAUUUCUCCUGACAGAUUAUUUGAUGCAAGAUUGAGAAAUUCUAAUUGCAUUGGCUUGUCCUGAUUGUUACAUAAAAAAUCUUGCAUGGAUUCAGAGAAUGAAUUGGUUGAAAGGUCUAACUCAUACACAUCAUUUGAAAGAUAGGGUAAUUUACCACACAAGUGAUUUGUGCUUAGAUCAACAGUUUUGAUAGAUAUUGGAUUUUUUAUUGUAGUCACAAGCUCACCAUGGAUAUGAUUAUGAGAGAGGUUUAAAUACAAAACCUGAGAAUGUGCUUCCCAGAACCAAGUGGGAAUAGAAUCUAAAAUCCCUGUGUUAGACAGUCCAACAUAUCGAAGUUUGUUUUGUGACUGAAUCCACGAUGGAAAGUUGGGACCUAUCUGCCAUGAUGUCACAUCCAAAUAGGAAAGCUGGAAAUUAGGAAGCCAAUUGGGACCCACUUUUAAAGUGAAAUUGUUCCCUGAUGCAUCAAACUCCUUCAAACUUGUAAGAUUUGCAAGAUCAUCUUCGUUGACAACUCCUUGAAAAUUAUUGCCAUUAAUAAGAAGCGAUGACAAUUUAGAGAGUGAUCCAAGACUUUCAAAUGGAUUUCCACUGAAUUUAUUAAUAGAGAGAUAGAGAUAUUUUAAAUCUAUCUCCCUUGAGUUGCGGAGAUUACCCAAAAAAGUCGGAAUUGUUCCUUCAAGUUGAUUAUAUGACAAAUCAAGUUCAACAAGAGAAGUCAAAUUUCCCAAAGAAGUUGGAAUGGUUCCUUCAACUUGAUUAUGUGACAAAUCAAGUCCGACAAGAGAAGUCAAAUUUCCCAGGGCAUCAGAAAUAGUCCCAUGCAAGUUGCUGGAACUUAGGUCCAGAUACUUGAGACGAUGAAGACCGUAUAAGCAAUUAGGUAUAGAAGAUGAAAAUGAAUUGAAAGACAACUCAAGAUUUUGAAGAAGUGUGAGGUUUCGAAUACCACCAGGAAUCGGACCUUGAAUUUCAUUACCCUGUAAUUGAAGAGAAACAAGUUUCUUCAAUUUGAAUAUCCACUUGGGGACAAAAGAAAUGGCAGGGGAAUAACUAGUACGGGAAAGAUCGAGAGUUUGCAGAGAUGAGAAGUUGAGCAAGGAUGGUUCAUUAUAGUGAGGGAGUUUGCAGUCUGACAAAUCUAGGUGGGUCAAAGAAGGAAGAGAUUGGAGAGUGUGUAGCCAAUGAAAUGCUUUGGAUAGGUUUGCAUAACUCAAAUGAAGAUAUUCAAGCUUCCACAUACUUGAUACCCAUUCUACAUUUUCAGCUAACAGAUGUUCGACAGCAGAAUAAUCUACAUUUUCAGCAAACAGAUCAUAACUACCUCCAAGGCCAAGAUAGACCAAAUUGGAGAGAUUCCCAAUCUGAGAUGGAAUCUUCCCCAUGAAUCCAGUAUGAGAGAGGUCGAGGUGAGUCAAGGAGGUCAUUGUGUUGAGUUGGUUAGGAUUCAGUUACAGAGGAGAGAAAAAUAGAGAAUGAAGAUGAAAGAAGAAAAAAAUAUUAUGAUUGAUUUGUAAAGUGUGUGUUACAAAGUAUUUAUAUUCUCAGAUACAAGCUACUACUAAACAAGACUACAACUAACUAGUUAUAAUCUCAACACCCUCCCUCAAGCUUAUCAUGGUAGAUGUUGAUCAUGCUAAGCUUGGAGACAAAAUCAUGAAAUUUGGGUGGUGCCAAUGCUUUGGUGAGAAAAUCUGCCACUUGAUCACUUGUUGAAACUGGUAGUAGCUUUAGAGUGCCCUUCAAAAGCUUCUCUCGCACAAGAUGGCAAUCAAUUUCCAAGUGUUUUGUGCGUUCGUGAAAAACCGGAUUUGAGGCAAUGUGGACUGCGCUUUGGUUGUCACAGUAAAGAGUUGGAGUUCUGGUAAGCUGAACUCUCAAAUCUGCAAAAAGAUACAACAGCCAUUGCAACUCACAAGCAGCUGAAGACAGAGCCCUGUACUCUGCUUCUGAAGAUGAUCUGGACACAGUUGCUUGCUUUUUAGCACGCCAUGACACUAAAGAUUUGCCUAUGAAGAAACAAUAUCCAGAUAUGGAUUUUCUAGAAUCCAUACAGCCUGCCCAAUCAGCAUCUGAAUAACCUAUAAGUUGCAUUUCUGAAGUUCUGCUAAAGAAAAUACCUUGGCCUGGGUUGUUCUUCAAAUACCUCAAUACUCUACAUGCUGCAUUGAAAUGAACAUUUGUGGGUGCUUGCAUGAACUGGCUAAGUUGUUGUGUUGCAAAAGCAAUGUCUGGCCUAGUUGUGUUUAAAUACAACAACUUCCCAACUAUGCGCCUGUAACCUGAAAUAUCAGCAUAAGGAGUGCCUGCAGCACUGUGCAACUUUAUGGAUGUGUCAAGAGGUGUGCUAGCAGGUUUGCACCCAAGUAAUCCUGAAUCCUUAAGCAGAUCCAGACAAUAUUUCCUCUGUGAGAUGGUAAUACCCAGUCUAGAAUGAGCAACUUCAAGCCCAAGAAAGUAUUUCAACUUACCCAGAUUUUUAAUUUUGAAAGCUAAAUCAAGAACAUUCUUGAUCCUGUCAAAUUCAUCAAUUGAAUCACCUGCAAGAAUGAUGUCAUCUACAUAUACCAACAGUGCAGUGAAAGUAUUUCCUUUGGUGAGAGUAAAUAGGGAGUAAUCUGAAAUUGAUUGUAUGUAACCUUCUUUGAGAAGCAAAUUAGUCAGCUUUUCAUACCACUUCCUACUUGCUUGCUUCAACCCAUACAAGCUCUUUUGUAGCUUGCAAACAGAAUUAGGCUUGGCACAAGUUACCCCAUCUGGUAUUUUCAUGUAAACAUCUUCUUGAAGAUCUCCAUGAAGAAAAGCAUUAUUGACAUCCAGUUGAUGAAGGUGCCAAUUCUUUAUGGCAGCUACUGCCAAAAGAGUCCUAACAGUGGUAAUCUUAGCCACAGGGGAGAAGGUCUCAAAAUAGUCAAUCCCUUCUACUUGAUUGUAGCCUUUGGCUACUAAUCUGGCUUUGUAUCUCUCUAUUUGGCCAUUUGCUUUGUGUUUGACUUUAUAAACCCAUUUACAUCCUAUGGGUUUAGUAUGAGGUGGGAGUUCAACAAUUUUCCAGGUACAAUUUUUAGCCAAAGCAUUUAAUUCUUCCUUCAUGGCUGUUACCCAGUGUUCAUGCUUACUAGCUUCCUCAUAAGAUUGAGGCUCAGUGCAGUGUGUGAUUGACAUACUAAAUGCCUUGUGUGAAGGAGACAAAAGUGUAAGUGAAUGAAAAGAAGACAAGGGAUAUUUAGACUUUGUACCUGAAGUGAGAGAUUCGUGUGAAGUUGGAGAUGUAUUGUGACAAACAUAGUCAGACAAAUGUAAUGGUGCCCUUCUUUGUCUGAUGGGUUUGGAAUGUAAUAGAGGAGAAUCAUUGUGAUCUUUAGGUGGAGGUGUGGAGGUAGAGGUAUCAGAAAUGACAGUGUCAUUUGAAAUAUUAGGAGAUAAAGAUGAGUGGGGUGGUGAUGGUGACUGCUCAGCAUUAAUGUCUAAGGAAAUGUCACUAUCUAAGGUAAUGUCACUGUCAUUUGGAGUAGGACUGAUGGAAUGAUACUCCCAAGGAGUCUUGGGAGAUGAGGACUGAUAGGGAAAAAUGUGUUCAUGGUGAGUCACAUCCCUAGACAAGAAUAUGGAAUUAUUUAAUAGAUCAAGGAGUACAACUCCUUUCACACCAGAUUUAUAUCCUAGAAAAACACAUUUUCUAGCUCUAAGGUCUAACUUGGUUCUAUGUGAUUGUAAAGUAGAUGCAAAAACUAGAGAACCAAACACUUUGAGAGUAUCAAAAUCAGGGGCAGUAUUAUACAAUAAAGUAUAAGGAGAUUUGUUUUGUAAAUUUGGUGCAGGGACUCUAUUCAUGAUGUAUACAGCAUGGGAAACAGCAUAACACCAAAAAGACUUGGGGAGAUUAGACUGAACAAGAAGAGCUCUACCUAUGUUUAGAAUUUGCUGAUGUUUUCUCUCAACCCUGCCAUUUUGCUGGGGAGAGUCAACACAGCUAGUCUGGUGUAAUAUACCUUUGGAGGCAUAGAAAUCUGGCAUAAGGAACUCAGGACCAUUGUCUGUACGAAUGGAUUUAACAGAAUGAUUAUAUUGGGUUUUAAUAAAAUGAAUAAAGUUUUGAACAUGAAGUCUAGCUUCAGAUUUAUUUUUCAUUAGGGUUAUCCAAGUAUAUCUAGAAUGGUCAUCAACAGCAGUAAGAAAAUAAGCAUGAUUAUGAACAGAUUUAAUAGAGAUGGGACCCCAUAUGUCAAAAUGAAUCAAAUCAAAACAUUUUAUUGCUUUAUGAUAACUGUGUACAAAAGGUAAUUUUCUGUGUUUAGCAAAGUGACAGAUGUCACACACAGAACUAGAAUCAUUUACAAUAAAGGGGAAUUGAGAGUGUAAAAGAGCAAUUCUAGAACUAGACAGGUGACCUAACCUGAAAUGCCAAAUUGCAUUUUCAGGUAUAUGGACAUUAUUUGCUGAGGAAAAAAUGGAAGAAAUGUUGUAGUUGGAAGAAGCACAUUCCUUAUUUGUCUGAGUCAAGUAGUACAAGCCAUCUCUGCUUUCACCCAAACCAAUCAUCUUCAGUGAUUUCUGCUCCUGUAUGGAACAAAUAGUGUCAGUGAAAUUGAGUGUAUAAGGUGUAUGGUGACAUAAUUGAGAGACAGAAAUCAAAUUGACUGUAAAGGUAGGAACAUAUAGGACAUUGGUGAUACUAAAAGAAGAGGAAAACACAACUGUGCCUGCAUAUUUAGUGGUGACAUGAUUACCAUUUGGUAAUUUUAUAAUCAUGGGAUUGAUUUCACUAUAAGAGUGAAACCAGUGCAGUGAGGCACAUAUGUGAUGACUAGCACCUGAAUCUAUGAUCCAGGUAUCAAGAGCAAUAUUAUUACAAAUAGAAGAAUAAAAAAAAUGAGAUAUUUUCAUACCCUUCGUAUCUGCUGAUGAAGGACCAGCAGUGUUGAAUGAGCAAACCUGUUUAGAAGUAGAAGCAUUACAAUGGUUAACAGAAGGAGGUUGAAUUAACUGCAGAAGCUUAUCUAAUUGUUCCUGAGUAAGUGAAGGAGUCAUGGUGACACUUGUGGUGUUCUGAGAUGCAGUUGAAGAUUCAACACGUUCUCCCCCAUCAACUGCAGAAUGAUGAGCAGAACCAGAGUGAUUUUUCAUCAUGUGAGGAGGAACACCAUGCUUUUGAAAGCAAUUCUCAACAAAGUGAUUCGUCUUAUGACAAUAGGUACAGUAGCGCUUGGAACCAGAAUUAGAUCUUCCAUUAGCAGAACCUUGAGACUUACUAGUUGAAGCAUUAACAAGAGCCUUUGAAUCAUCAAGAUUAGGAACACAAUUUUGACGUUCAAAUUGAAUCACCAUAGAAAAGAUCUUGGUGAUAGAAGGUAGAGGUUCAAUCAGAAGAAUCUGAGAUUUAACCGCAUUGAAUUCAUCGUUUAAACCAGUCAAGAAACGCAUAACAUGAAGCGUAUGAUGAUGACGACGAGCAAGACGCAUCGCAUCACAAGAACAACGAUGAUGACAUGUGCAAUUUGGAAUCGGCAUGUAAAUUUCAAGUUCUUCCCAAAGCGCUUUCAGAUCAGAAUAGAAAGUAGUUACAGAUCGAGUACCUUGAGUGAGAGCGUAAAUCUCUUGUUGAAUUUCUGAAACACGAACCAAAUCACCUUGUGAGAAACGCUCUUUCAGAUCGAGCCACACAUCGGAAGCGUUAUCCAUGAAAACGAUGGAUCGGGAAAUGGAAGGUUCAACGGAGUUGAGAAUCCAGCUAUGAAUCAACAUAUUGCAGCGAUUCCAAGCUCGGAACGACGGAUCGAAGGCAUCAACCGGCAUCGGAAUUGUUCCGUCAAGAAAUUCGAACUUGAGUUUGGCUCCGAGAGCGCGUCGCAGAGACCUCGCCCAAGAAUGGUAGUUGGAACCAUCGAGGAGUGGUGUGACCUUGACGGAGGAGGGACCGUCGCUAGGAUGAACAAAGAACGGACUAGUAGGAUCAGUAGAGGGAUCCGCCGGUGGCGGUGGUGCUAUACGCGGUGGCAUAGUGGCGGAAGCAAAAGGAAUGGAUCGUUAGGUCGAUGAUACCAUGUUGAGUUGGUUAGGAUUCAGUUACAGAGGAGAGAAAAAUAGAGAAUGAAGAUGAAAGAAGAAAAAAAUAUUAUGAUUGAUUUGUAAAGUGUGUGUUACAAAGUAUUUAUAUUCUCAGAUACAAGCUACUACUAAACAAGACUACAACUAACUAGUUAUAAUCUCAACACAUUGCACAAAGGAAAGAAGGAAUUGCCAUACCUUCUCCAAGUAAAUCAUUGUCGCUCAAGUCAAGAUAUCGAAGCUUAGAGAGAUUCCCGAUCUGAGAGGGUACUGUUCCGUUGGCAAAAACAUAACUCAGGUCAAGAUACACCAAAUUUGAGAGAUUCCCAAUCUGAGGAGGAAUCUUCCCAUAGAAUCCAGUAAGAGAGAGGUCGAGGUGAGUCAAGGAAGUUAUUGUCCCAAGGAAAGAAGGAAUUGACAUACCUGCUCCAAGUAAAUAAUUGGCGCUCAAGUCCAAGUAAUUCAAAUGCUUUAAAUCAGCCAAACAAGGACUUAUCUCUCCACCAAACUGGAAUCUCCUAUAAGCUCCCCUGUCAUAGAAAGCAGCAGAAAACGUAGUGUUGAGGUGAAGCUGAAGAAGAUGGGAAGUGACGUUGUGGCAGAGGACUCCAUACCAGUGGCAACAGUUGGUAUUAUUAUGAUUCCAAGACCAAAGCCUAUUGGAAGGAUCUAUGAGAUUAUUCUUAAACUUCAAAAGUGUCUCACGCUCACUUGGGAUGCACACACUCUCUCUGCAUGGUAAGCUCAACAACCAAAGCUGGACAAAGACAAGAAUAUAAAUGGAGGAAUUCAUGAUCACACAAGAAUAUAUAGAAAACAAGUGUAGUUGUUGGUUCUGCAUAUAAAUCAUCAAACUUCUAUUAUUUAUACUGCUGCCCUGCCUGUUUUUUUAGGUACAGUUUUUUUUUACAAAAAUAAAUAAGAAUUAUUUUAUUUUAAUUUACUCUAUAAUACUGCUUAAAUGAAAAUUUGGUGUCAUUAAACUUCAAAUUUUAAUUAUUAUUUAAUCAAUCCUUCCGUUAAACUUUUGUUACGUACAAAAGUCCAACAUUUUUUUAAGAAAAAAUCAAGUCUUUUAUUUCAUCAAAUUUAAUAUUAAAUUAUCAAAUUUUCAAUAUUCAAAACUAAAAAUAAUGUAAAAGAAAAUUGUCUUCUAAAUCAUAGCUUACACCAUCAAGUCAAUCUCAAGGUUUUUCAUUUUUUCAUCUUGAACCUUUGGACACUUCACAAAGUCCAGCCAUGAUGUUAAGGUCUGACUUCUUCAACUUGAACCAUAGGUCACUGCAUUAAUUACCUUCAUAUCAAGUUCCCUGUCAUUGACAACACAUGUUGCAAGUUGAGUCAAGCAAGGAAAAAAAAUAUUAUUGAUGAAUAAAUCAAUUAUAGGAAAAGAGUUUACUUUAAAGACUAUUUUGGUUAAAAAAAUCUAUAAAAAAAAUUAUUUCAUUCCAAGCUAGCUAUUUAAUUUUGAUCAAUUUUUCAAUUCACAAAAUAAUAUUCUUCUUAUAUGUGAAAAUGACUAAUUAAUCUUCAUUGUCAUUAAUGAUUGUUGUGUUGUCUAUUUCUAAUUGUUUUUUUAAUCAUAAUAUUAUUUUCUUUUUAUUAAAAAUUAAUUAGUGAGAUACAAAGAAGUUUAACUUGAUCUAUCAUAAUUAUUGAGAUCAUAGUUUUUCCUUUUAUAAGUCUUGGUCUAAAUUUCUCCAUGUAUUGUAGAUCAUAUUUAACUUAAAAAGUAAAUUAGAAGAUCUACAAAGAAGUGUGACAUGUUUUUUAAAUUAUAAAAUUAUGGUCCUAGCUAUUUAUUGUUAGACCACAAGUUUUCAUAUAUUAAAGUUUUUGUCUAAAUUUCAUUUAUGGUGAUAGUUUAAGAAUAGUGAUAGAAGACAAAAAUAAAUAUUCAAUUUAUUGAAAUAUCUAACUCAAUUAAUUGAUGAAUACAUCAAUUAUAGGAAAAGGGUGUACUUUAAAGACUAUUUCUAUUAAAAAAUCUAUAAAAAAAUUAUUUCCUUCCAAUCUAAUUAUUUAAUUUUAAUCAAUUUUUCAGUUCACAAAAUAAUAUUCUCUUAUAUAGGAAAAAAAGACUAGAUUUAAUUAUCAUCAAUUGGAAAAGUAAUUGUGUCAUGCAUUUAUAAUUGUAUUCUAACUUGAAUAUUAUUUUAUUUAUCAUAUAAAAAUUAAUUAGUUAUAUAAAAGAAGUAAAAAUAAUAUUAACUUUUUUUCUGAAAAAAAAAUCAGUGUCAUAUUUUAUAUUUUUUACAAGUUAUCAACUUAAAUAAGAGGAGAAACAUAAUUUUAAUUUCCAUUUUACUUUUUAAAUAAUUGCAAGUGCCAAAUUUAAAUAAUUAUGAGAAUCACGUUCAAUAUAAUAUUCUAAAAAAAAUCCAUAUGAUAACUUAAACAAUCUAUAAAGAAAUAUAAUUUAUUCUUGUGCCAAAUACUAAAACAAAAAACAUUUUUUAUUUUAGUUUACCGUAUAGAACUGCUUAAAUCAAUGAAAUUUUUAUUUUAAGAAAAUAUUAAUGAUUUUUUUUAAAACUUUAAGUAGUUUACAUCAAAGAUAAUUAAAUUUGGCUUAAUUAGUCUUCAAAUUUUAACUAUUAUUCAUAUCAAUCCUUUCGUUAAACCUGUACGUGUUAAGUAAACAACAAAAAGUCUUGUCUUAUAAAAUUCAAACAUUCUAUGACAUGCGGUUUGAACUCAUAAUUAAUUUUAAACUAUCAAAUUUUAAUUAUUCAAAAUAAAAGAAAUGAAAACAAAAUUGUCUCCUAGAGAAACCGCUGGCCACUCCACCAAAUUCAUAUCAAGGUCCCCACUUUUCCAACUUGAACCAUAGACUACUCCAUCAAAUCUAUGUCAAGGUCCUCCAUUUCAAGGUCCCCACUUUUCCAACUUGAACCAUAGACUACUUCAACCUUAGGACACUCCACAAAGUCCACCCAUAUUAAGGUCUCUGCCUUCUUCAACUUCUGCAACGCAUAUAUAGAAAACAACUUAAUUGUAUAAGUGCUUCUUGCUUCUGCAUAUAAAUCAUAAAACUUCUAUUAUUUAUACUGCUGCAAGUGUCUUUCUUGACUUUUUUUCUUUUUUUUAUGAUGUUUCCUUUUUUUAAUUAUUGACUUUAUUAUCCAAUUCUCCCGAGUUAAUUCUUAGAAUAGGAAAUAAUUUUGAAUUUACUUUAUCUAUCUCCCUUUUUAAAAUUCCUAUAUACACAAAAUUUUAUAUUGAAUUUAACUAUUAUUUAAUAUAUCCUUUCGUUAAACUUUUGUUAAUUAAACAAUAAAAGUCCAACAUUUUAUUAAAAAAAUUCAAGUCUUCUAUUUCAUGGACUCCAUCAAGUCUUUUAUUAAAAGUCCAACUUUUGUUAAUUCAAGUCUUUUACAAAAUUUUGUUAAUUCAACUUUUGUUAAUUAUUACAAAAUUUGGUAUUGAAUUUAACUAUUAUUUAAUUCAAGCCUUUUAUUAAAAGUUCAAAUUUUGUUAAUUUAAAUAUUAUUUUGUUAAUUAAACCAUAGCUGACUCCAUCAAGUCGUAUUUUUUCAUCUUGAACCUUUGGACACUCCACAAAGUCCAGCCAUGUUAUGGUCUCUGGCUUCAACUUGAACCAUAGCCUGGGCCACAAACAAUAUAUUAAUGAUAAAUACAUCAAUUAUAGGAAAAUGGUCUAAUUUAAAGACUAUUUCAGUUAAAAAAUCUAUAUAAAAAAAAUUAUUUCGUUCAUAUCUUGGUAUUUAAUUUUGAUCAAUUUUUUAAUUCACAAAAUAAUAUUCUCUUAUAUAUGAAAAAGCUAGACUAGAUUUAAUCGUCAUUUGGAAUGGUUGUUGUGUGAUCUAUUUCUAAUUGUAUUCAAACAUGAAUAUUAUUUUCAUUAUCAUAUAAAAAUUAAUUGGUGAUAUAAAAAGAAGUGUGAAAAAGAAUAUUAAUUUUUUUCUAAAAAAAAUUAGUAGCAUAUUUUGUAUUUUUUUACACGUCAUCAACUUAAAUAAUAGGAGAAACAUAAUUUUAAUUUCCAUUUUAAUUUUUAAAUAAUUUUAAUUGCCAAAUUUAAGCAAUCAUAAAAUUUCUCAUGUUCAAUAUAAUAUUCUAAAAAAAAAUAUUCAUAUGAUAACUUAAAUAAUCUACUAAGAAAUAUGAUUUAUUCUUAUGCAGAUCGAAUACUAAAAUAAGAAAAAAAAAUAUUUUAGAUCACAAUAUAAAAUUGCUUAAAUCAAUGAAAUUUCAUUUUAAGAAAAUAUUAAUAAUUUUUAAUACUUUAAAUCAAAGAUAAUUAAAUUUGGUUUAAUUAGUCUUCAAAUUUUAACUAUUAUUUAAAUCAAUCCUUUCAUUACACCUUUGUUAAGUAAAUGAUAGCAUAGCAAGCAAGGAGGUGCUAGCAGUAACACUCUCACAAAGAUAAAGAUCUUUAAGCCAUCAUUUUUUUUCCUUUUCUUUUCUAUGAACUGUCAUUUCUUAUCUCUACAUGGAAUGUCUAGAAGUUGAAAACUUGAGCUUUCUUUAACUAUACUGCUUUCCAUUUUGGCGAACUGCUUUUCUUUCUCAUAAUGAACUUUCCACUUCCAAUGAUGGUUCAACAUUAAUAAUUCUUUAUCUAUUUUGUCUAAAAAUUUCCAAUCACUUUUUGUGAGUGGUGUGAAUGUCAUGCAGACAAAUGAUGUCCAAGCUCCACUUUUUCCAUUCAUUGCAAGUUGUAAGCAGAAUGUAGAAUGUACGUAUAAUAAAAUAAUGAGAAUGCCAACUACUAGUACGUAGUACUUAAUUAAAACAAAAGUAUCAAAAUUAGAACGAAAAUAACUUUGAUGCUGUUAAUACAUGAGUUUAAUUUUGAUACACAGUGUAAAAAUUUAAAUUUUUAAUUAAUUAGAAAUCACCUAAUGAUUUGUAAAACAAUUACUAAAAAAAGUUUCAUUUGAAACUUAGUCUUCCACCCGUCUCAAGCUCUCCACAUGAACACUAAGCUCUAGACAAAAAUAAAUAAAUAAAUAAAUAACCACGAGAAAUAAUAUAUAACUCUUUAGUGGACAAUUGGUGUUCUUUUGUGCAUUCAGUUGAAGGAAGUUCCCAGAUUGGCAGAAAGCAAGGGACAGAUGAAACGGCCACAGCUAAGAAUAGUGCAUCUUAUAUCGGGAAGAGAUUGUUAGAAAGUUUGGUUGCAGUUGCAGGGCUUCUAAUUUGGCUUUCAUGAGCAUUACUCAAAUACUACCUAUAUAUUACCACUUUCAUAUCACAAAAUGUCUUGCCUUAUAAAAUUUAAAUAUUCUAUUACUUGCAGUUUGAAUCCAUAAUUAAAUUUAAAAUAUCAAUUUUUUAUUAUUCCAAAUAAAAGAAAUGAAAACAAAAUUGUCUAGUCUCCUAGACAAACCACUUCCCACUCCACCAAAUUCAUAUCAAGGACCCCACUUUUCCCACUUGAACCAUAGACUACUCCAUCAAGUCCAAGUCAAUGUCCUUCAUUUUUUCAUCUUGAAUCUUAGGACACUCCACAAAGUCCAGCCAACCAUAUUUAGGUCUCUAUCUUCUUCAACAUGAACCAUAGGUCACUACAUUACCUUCAUAUCAAGUUCCUUAUCAUUGACAACAAAUGUUUAGAAUUAAGUAAGCAAGGAAAAAAAAUAUAAAUGAUGAAUACACCAAUUAUAGGAAAAUGAUCUAAUUUAAAGACUAUUUCGGUUAAAAAAUCUAUAUAAAAAAAGACUCUUUCGUUUCAAUCUAACUAUUUAAUUUUGAUCUAUUUUUUAAUUUACAAAAUAAUAUUCUUCUUAUAUGUGAAAAAAAAACUAAUUUUCAUUGUCAUUAAUCGGAAAGAUUGUUGUGUCGUCUAUUUCUAAUUGUAUUUUAGCCUGAAUAUUAUAUUCUUUUUCAUUAAAAAUUAAUUAGUAAGAUACAAAGAAAUGUAAAAUGCUUGUUUAACUUGGUCUAUCAUAAUUAUUGAGAUCAUAACUUUUUUCUUUUAUAAGUCUUUGUCCAAAUUUCUCCAUAUAUUGUAGAUCAUAUUUAGCUUAAAAAGUAAAUUAGAGGAUAUGAUAUACCAAGAAGUGUGGCAUGUUUUUUUAAAUUAUUUAUCUAUGGCCUUAGCUAUUUUAUUUUUAGACCACAAGUCUUCAUAUAUUAAAGUCUUUGUCUGAAUUUCAUUUACUUGUGUGGUGAUAUUUUAAGAAUAGUGAUAGAAGAGAAAAAUAAAUAUAUAAUUUAUUGAAAUAUCUAACUUAUGAAGAUUUGCAUUCUUAAUGCAUAAGAUUUUCAGUUUAUAUAUUAUCAUUAUUUGGAAAUAUUUUUUGUGUUAAUUGUCUAUUUCUAAUUAAUUUGAAAAUGAAUCUUAAUUUUUUAUCAUAAAAAUUAGUAUUAUAUUUUUUAUUUUCUUUACAAGUUAUCAACUUAAAUACUAAUAGGAGCAACAUAAUUUUAAUUUCCAUUUUACUUUUUAAAUAAUUUUAAGUGCCAAAUUUAAGCAAUCAUAAAAAUACUCACGUUCAAUAUAAUAUUUUUAAAAAAUAAUUCAUGAGAUCACUUAAAUAAUCUUCAAAGAAAUAUAAUUUAUUCUUGUGCCAAAUAAACAACAAAAAAAGUCUUGCAUUAUUAAAUUCAAGUCUUCUAUUACAUGCAAUUUGAACCUAUAACUAAUUUUAAAUGAUCAAAUUUUUAUUAUUCAAAAUAAAAGAAAAGAAAAAAAAAUUGUCUUCUAGACAAACCAGAGACAACUCCACCAAAUCCAUAUCAAGGUCCCCACUUUUUUAACUUGAACCAUAGGCCACUCCAUCAAAUCUAUGCCAAAGUUUCUUAUCAUUGACAACAAAUGCUGAGAGUUAAGUCAAGCAUGAAAAAAAAUAGGGUAAAAUAUAUCAUUUCUAUCCCUAUAAAAUUUUAAUGUGCUACUUUUUUUUUUUAUCCUGAGUUAAGUUUGGAUGAUAGAUAAUUAUCAUGUAUUCUUAGAUUUUGGUGUCAUUUUAGGAUAUUUAUGUGAUAUAUGUCUUUUAUGCUUUUUUAUUGUCAUGAACUAAUCUUCUCUUUUGUUGGAGUUGAAUAUAAUUGGUUCAUUUUUCAUGUAAUGACUAUUUUUUAUUGAAUAAAGCAUUCUAAUUGUUUCUCUUCUAUGUUUAAUAUGUGUUUUUGGCUUAAUCACCUGUUUGUAUGAUUUUUUUUAUUCAAUUGUAAUUUAAAUUUUUUUUUGAACUAUGAAUUGCAAAAAACACCUAAUAAUUUUUAUGUCUAGGAAUAAGAUAAAAAGAAUUGAGCAUCAAUAAACACUUUAUCUUAAUGAAAAUCAUUUAGUUAUAUUAAUUUAAGGGAUUAAGGGAUUUAGGUCUCUUCACUAGGAAUUAAAGUGAAGAUAAUAUGAUGGGAUUAUGAUAAUAUAACCUUUAUUAAAUAUAAAUGUGUAGUUAUUAGGUAAUAGAAACUUCAAUGAAAUUAAACCCCAACAAUUUUUUCAUUGAUUUAACCCCAACAAUUACAUGAGGUGUUUGUUAAAAUUCCCAAACAAUUUUUUUCCUUAAUUUUUUCCUUAAUUUUUUCUUUUAUUUUCUUCUUUAGUUUUCUUAUUUUUAUUUCUUACUUUAAUUUCUUUAUCUUUAUGCAUAUUGUUAUUUAAAUCAAAUUAGCUAAUGUUAAUUAAUUUCAAAUAUGCAUAGUAUAGAAAUUAUACUUUUUAUUACCCAAUUAUUGCCUAAGUCCUGUUAAUGCUAAUCAUUGUUAGAGCACAGAUAGUAGAAGACAAUAAUGCGUGAUAAAUACAAAACAGAAUUUGAUGCUCAAGUCUGAAGCUCGUCUAGUUCUCUUAACAUUAAGAACAUUUAUUACCAAUGAAAGCAAAACAAACAGACACCCCAUAUGAACAUGUACAUAGUAUGGUAAACCUUUUCACAUUUUUAAUGUCUAGAAUAACACGUUGUAAUGUCUCUCACUCCUAACAGUUAACAUGUAAACUCACAAUUUCCCAAGUAACCUUCUUACCUUCAAAACUAUUAUCACAUAAAUCAGAUCUCUCAAGUGGUCAAGAUAAUGAAAAUAAGCACGCCUCCAAGUUCUGUUGAAGAAAACAACACUGCAAAAACCCCAAAAUCCUGCUGCAAAUCCAACUCCCAUACCGAUAUAAAACUCUGAUGUUCCAAAGAAAUUACCAUCACCGUGUCCAACAGAAGCACUCUCUGUCAACUCUUCCUUGUCUGUGCAAUUUUUUGUCACAGGAGGACCACAAAGCUCAGGAUUUCCAGUGUAGCUAAGUUCUUCAAAGCUCUGAAGUUGGGUGCUCGUGGGAAUUCUGCCUGAUAAGUUGUUGUAUGAUAGAUUCAGGACACUGAGGAAGGACAAAUCAGAUAAGCUUUGAGGGAUUUGACCUGAAAUGUUGUUUAGUGAGAGAUCAAGGGAUUCUAACAAUUUCAUUUUUCCCAUGUCAUUUGGUAUCCCUCCAGACAGAUGAUUUCUAGACAAGUUCAAAAACCGCAAAGCAGAUAGCUUGGAAAUUUCAGAUGGAAUUGCUCCAGACAGCUUAUUACUUGAAAGAUCAGUCAUUCUCACCAAUAUCAGAUUGUCUCUGUACUCUAACUCAUCUCCUUUGGGAACUAAGACAAGAGUUUCCUUGUAGUGGUUAUAACUGAAGUCAGAGCCAUAUGAAUAACUUAAAGGGUUGGCAAAGAAGUCAUCUUCACCAGCCAUUGUCUUCAUGUCAUCCAAACAAUUUGGAAUGGAUCCUGACAGGCUGUUAUUGCCAAGAUCCAGCACUAUAAGGGAAGAAAGUUGACAAAUCUUUUCAGUAAUGCUGCCAUUGAAAUUGUUGGAUCUUAGACGAAGAACCAUUAGAUAUUGCAUUUCCCACAUCCAAUCUGGUAUUGCGUCAGAAAGUUGGUUAUUGCCCAUGUCAAUGAAUUUCAUUGUAGAGCAAUUUUGCAGUGUUGAAGGAAUAUAUCCAGAGAAGCGGUUGUCGUCUAACAACAAAGACUCAAGUUGAGAUAGAUACCCCAUGGAGUUUGGAAUAGCACCAGACAAAUUGUUACUACCCAAGUUCAAAUGCACCAAAGCUUGCCAAUGCACCCAACAGUGACCAAGAUCACCAGAUAAGACAUUAUUUGAAAAAUCAAGCACACUUAAAUUAUUAGUAGCAUUUUCCUUUCCACAUAAAAAGGGAGAAAUUGUUCCGGAAAUUGAGUUAUUGGCAACAUUCAGCACUUCAACAUUUGCAGACACACUUGGCAAUGUACCCUUGAACAAAUUAGAACUCAAAUUUAUGAGGCUGGAAUUGAGAAAGAUGUUAGAUAGGUCUCCACUUAACAGAUUGUUGGACAGAUCCAGGAAUUCAGUUUGCAAAGUCCAAUUCCAAAACCAACUUGGAACCAAGUCUGCAAUACCUGCCUUAGACAUUGUCAAAACCUUCACAGAACUUUGCCUUUUUAGCCAUUCUGGAAACUUAGGACCUAUUCCAAAGGAGCUCAGUAAAACAUAUUCAAGCUGAAAAGGAGGAACCCAUCCAGAGUUGACACUGAGGAACAAGUUUGUCCAAGACAAACGUAGUUCCUUUAAUUUCAAAAGUUUUACAAAAUUUGACUCUUUUAUAGAUCCUUCUAACAAAUUAGAUGAAAGGUCUAACAUCACUAAAUUUGAGAGAGUUCCAAGAGUUACAGGCAUAUCACCAGUCAAAGAAUUAGUUCCAAGAUUUAAUACCUGCAGGUUUCUGAGGAACUCAAAACUCUUAGGAAUGGUUCCAUUCAGUCGGUUGUGAGCCAGGUUUAAAGUUCUCAAGGAUGACAAGUUUGCAAAUGGUGAGGGAAUUGGACAAGUAAAGGUAUUAUUACUGAGAUUUAGAACUUCAAGAUGCUUAAGCUGGCCUAAUGAAUCUGGAAGUGGCCCACUGAGCUGGUUGUUCUGCAGGUCUAGAUUUUUUAUGUUCUGAAGGCUUGAUAUUAUUUGUGGAAUUUCUCCCUGUAAAAGGUUACUGUGUAAAUCAAGUUGGACAAGAGCUGUGCUGAGAUUAAAUAGCCAUGAAGGGAUUUGCUGAUUGAGAUUGUUAAUUGAAAGAUCAAGGACUUGGAGAUGUGUGAAGUUGAUUUUUCCUUUUGGUGGUCCUAAGUUAUCAAUUUGACAGCUCUCCAAGUGUAGUUCUGAAAGAGAUGGAAGUUCACUCAGUACUUGAAGCCAGUUACCUUGUUUAUGAAGGUCUGAACCACUCAAAUCAAGGUACUCUAAGGAAGAUAGCCUUGAUAUCCAAUUAAGGUUAUCUAUCUGAAGAGCAUAAUUGUAUCCAAGAUUAAGGUGCUGCAGGUUUGAGAGGUUUCCUAGUUGAUGAGGGAUUAAUCCCAUGAACCCACUUAAGCUAAGGUCCAAGUAUCUCAGACUCUCCAAUGAGCCUAGGAAGCUUGGUAUUGGAGUAAGAACAAAAUAAUUUGAACUCAAGUCCAAACGAUUCAAAUAUUUUAGUUCAAGCAAAGAAGGACUAAUCUCUCCACUCAACUCCCUAUAGGGAGAGCCCGCAGGUGUGUCAAGAUUGAUUUCCAUGACUUUACCUGUGUUGUUGCAGUGAACCCCUGGCCAUGUACAGCAAUCCGAUUUGUCAGACCAUGAUGAAAGCCUGUUUGAAGGGUCUGCUAGUCCAUGCUUGAAGCUGAGGAGUGCAUUCCUUUCCUUCUCUCUGCAAGUCAUAUUGAGCCUUGCUGCCUUGCUUGCACUGAAGUGGAGAGUUGUUGCAGUGGACAAUAUCAAGAGAAGAACAUGAGUUGCAAAUAGCACUGCCAUGAAGAAGAAGGAAGACGAAAAAGGUUGAAUCCACAAUUUUCUGGUUCACGGUUGGUAUUUACUACUAACAAUGCCAAUGCCUAUAUAGGAUAUAUACCAUAGAAGGGUUUGCAUUUAAAAUUUUAUUCCACUAAUGGUGGUGGUUGCAAAAUGCACACAUAUGUAGAGGUAUAUAUGUCUACAAGGAGACAUUUAGGAUUAAAAGUGCCUAACCACACCACCAUUAUUUUGCUCUAGUUUAUUUUAUUUUGAUUUAAUUAUCCUUUUAGUCCUUAUAGUUGUGAUAAUUUGUUUUAGUCCCUAUAGUUUAAGACAUUCAUUUUGGUUCUUAUAUUUCCAAUUUUUUUUAUCUUUUGGUCCUCGCGGGGAAGAUUCAACUCACACAUAAACAUGAACAAAAUUAAUAAAAAUAGGGAAGCAAGCUCAGGUACAAAUGAAGUGUAAUGGAGGUAUGAGACAAAGCCACUACACAUUCCAUUAUUCUUGAGUCUGCCACCGACCUCUGCAAGCUUAGCAUUUGCCAAUUGCCAUGAUGUAAUCUCCUUCUUGACAGUCUCUCAUCAAGUUGGAGUGGUAUCACAGCAUUGAACUAUGUUGGUCGUUCCAAUGGGAUGAUGGUUUUGAUUGCUGCAGAUAAAGUGUGUCAUUGUGAGUUUCUGGUCCCAUGAGUUAAACUAUAAGGACUAAAAAAAAUAUUGUCGUAACUUUAAGGGCCAAAAGGAUAAUUAAACCUUUUAUUUUUUUAUAAUUUUUUUUUACAACGGGUUAUAUAUAUGUAGCAGUUUAUUCUAAACAAUGGACUACGUGUGAAAUCUUUGAAUUCUAUGUAAGAAAUGUUAUUUCAAAUUUCUCAUCAGUCUUCAUGUCAAUGAUGACAUGCUCCAUUUGAAUUCUAUGUCUAAUUAAGCUCUCGGUCUUCCGUUUUUGCAACUUUAUUUCGUAGAAAGAAGCCAAAUUUGAAGAUACAACAUUUGAUACUAUAACUGUUUGGUGUUUUGAAAAUCUCACUGACAUAUUUCCAAAUGUUACAAUCUCCUAGCCUUUUUUACCAAGUCAGGGAAUUUGCAUUGUUGUGCAUGAUGGCUGCCACAAGCACCCUUGUGCCAACCCAUUAGUGCAAGUGGUUUUUUCUUAUGAGAAUUGAGAAACAAAUUAUAUAUGUGUUUUAUAAAGGGAAUUCUAUUAUUUUUAAUUUUGAACUUGUAAUGUUUUUUGUUUCCCUCACAGAACAAGUGAUGUGACUCUUGAUCGACGCCAUACGUACGCAUACUUUGAUGCUCUUUUUUCUCACCACUUUUAUCUUAAUGGUAUCUCAAGUUGACAAUCAUAAAUUAAAAUAGCUAACUAUAGUUGAUUAGUAGAGACAAACAGCUCAAAGAUAAAGAUCUUUAAGCCAUCAUUUUUUUUUCCUUUUCUUUUCUAUGAGCUGUCAUUUCUUAUCUCUACAUGGAAUGUCUAGAAGUUGAAAAUUACUUGAGCUUUCUUUACCUACUGCUUUCCAUUUUGGCGAACUGCUUUUCUUUCCCAUAACCAGGAAUUCAUGGGAAGUGACGUUGUGGCAGAGGACUCCAUACCAGUGGCAACAGUUGGUAUUAUUAUGAUUCCAAGACCAAAGCCUAUUGGAAGGAUCUAUGAGAUUAUUCUUAAACUUCAAAAGUGUCUCACGCUCACUUGGGAUGCACACACUCUCUCUGCAUGGUAAGCUCAACAACCAAAGCUGGACAAAGACAAGAAUAUAAAUGGAGGAAGAAUUCAUGAUCAUGCAAGAAUAUAUAGAAAACAAGUGUAGUUGUUGGUUCUGCAUAUAAAUCAUCAAACUUCUAUUAUUUAUACUGCUGCCCUGCCUGUUUUUUUCUCCACUUUCAUUAUUUUUUACCUUUUUUAUUAUUGUGCCAAAUACUAAAAUAUUCUUCCAUUCUUUUUUUUUACGGUGACCUCUUUAAAUUAUCGAUUUAAUUAUCCAAUUCUCCCGAAUUCAUUAUUUCAUUCCAAGCUAGCUAUUUAAUUUUGAUCAAUUUUUCAAUUCACAAAAUAAUAUUCUUCUUAUAUGUGAAAAAGACUAAUUAAUCUUCAUUGUCAUUAAUGAUUGUUGUGUUGUCUAUUUCUAAUUGUUUUUUUAAUCAUAAUAUUAUUUUCUUUUUAUUAAAAAUUAAUUAGUGAGAUACAAAGAAGUUUAACGUGAUCUAUCAUAAUUAUUGAGAUCAUAGUUUUUCCUUUUAUAAGUCUUGGUCCAAAUUUCUCCAUGUAUUGAAGAUUAUAUUUAACUUAAAAAGUAAAUUAGAAGAUCUACAAAGAAGUGUGACAUAUUUUUUAAAUUAUAAAAUUAUGGUCCUAGCUAUUUAUUGUUAGACCACAAGUUUUCAUAUAUUAAAGUUUUUGUCUAAAUUUCAUUUAUGGUGAUAGUUUAAGAAUAGUGAUAGAAGAGAAAAAUAAAUAUUCAAUUUAUUGAAAUAUCUAACUCAAUUAAUUGAUGAAUACAUCAAUUAUAGGAAAAGGGUGUACUUUAAAGACUAUUUCUAUUAAAAAAUCUAUAAAAAAAUUAUUUCCUUCCAAUCUAAUUAUUUAAUUUUAAUCAAUUUUUCAGUUCACAAAAUAAUAUUCUCUUAUAUAGGAAAAAAAGACUAGAUUUAAUUAUCAUCAAUUGGAAAAGUUAUUGUGUCAUGUAUUUAUAAUUGUAUUCUAACUUGAAUAUUAUUUUAUUUAUCAUAUAAAAAUUAAUUAGUUAUAUAAAAAGAAGUAAAAAGAAUAUUAACUUUUUUUCUCAAAAAAAAAAUCAGUAUCAUAUUUUAUAUUUUUUACAAGUUAUCAACUUAAAUAAGAGGAGAAACAUAAUUUUAAUUUCCAUUUUACUUUUUAAAUAAUUGCAAGUGACAAAUUUAAAUAAUCAUGAGAAUACUCACGUUCAAUAUAAUAUUUAAAAAAAAAAAAUCCAUACGAUAACUUAAACAAUCUAUAAAGAAAUAUAAUUUAUUCUUGUGCCAAAUACUAAAAUAAGAAACAUUUUUUAUUUUACUUUACCGUAUAGAAUUGCUAAAAUGAAUGAAAUUUUUAUUUUAAUAAAAUAUUAAUGAUUUUUUUAAAACUUUAAAUAGUUUACAUCAAAGAUAAUUAAAUUUGGCUUAAUUAGUCUUCAAAUUUUAACUAUUAUUCAAAUCAAUCCUUUCGUUAAACCUGUACGUGUUAAGUAAACAACAAAAAAUCUUGUCUUAUAAAAUUCAAACAUUUUAUUACAUGCGGUUUGAACCCAUAAUUAAUUUUAAACUAUCAAAUUUUAAUUAUUCAAAAUAAAAGAAAUGAAAACAAAAUUGUCUCCUAGAGAAACCGCUGACCACUCCACCAAAUUCAUAUCAAGGUCCCCACUUUUCCAACUUGAACCAUAGACUACUCCAUCAAGUCUAUGUCAAGGUCCUCCAUUUUAAGGUCCCCACUUUUCCAACUUGAACCAUAAACUACUUCAACCUUAGGACACUCCACAAAGUCCACCCAUAUUAAGGUCUCUGACUUCUUCAACUUCUGCAACGCAUAUAUAGAAAACAACUUAAUUGUAUAAGUGCUUCUUGCUUCUGCAUAUAAAUCAUAAAACUUCUAUUAUUUAUACUGCUGCAAGUGUCUUUCUUUUCUUUUUUCUUUUUUUUAUGACGUUUCCUUUCUUUAAUUAUUGACUUUAUUAUCCAAUUCUCCCGAGUUAAUUCUUAGAAUAGGAAAUAAUUUUGAAUUUACUUUAUCUAUCUCCCUUUUAAAAAUUCCUAUAUACACAAAAUUUUAUAUUGAAUUUAACUAUUAUUUAAUCUAUCCUUUCGUUAAACUUUUGUUAAUUAAACAAUAAAAGUCCAACAUUUUAUUAAAAAAAUUCAAGUCUUCUAUUUCAUGGACUCCAUCAAGUCUUUUAUUAAAAGUCCAACUUUUGUUAAUUCAAGUCUUUUACAGAAUUUUGUUAAUUCAACUUUUGUUAAUUAUUACAAAAUUUGGUAUUGAAUUUAACUAUUAUUUAAUUCAAGCCUUUUAUUAAAAGUUCAACUUUUGUUAAUUUAAAUAUUAUUUUGUUAAUUAAACCAUAGCCGACUCCAUCAUGUCUAUCUCAAGGUCCUGUAUUUUUUCAUCUUAAACCUUUGGACACUCCACAAAGUCCAGCCAUGUUAUGGUCUCUGGCUUCAACUUGAACCAUAGCCCAUAGGGCACAAACAAUAUAUUAAUGAUAAAUACAUCAAUUAUAGGAAAAGGGUCUAAUUUAAAGACUAUUUCAGUUAAAAAAUCUAUAUAAAAAAAGAUUAUUUCAUUCAUAUCUUGCUAUUUAAUUUUGAUCAAUUUUUUAAUUCACAAAAUAAUAUUCUCUUAUAUAUGAAAAAAAGACUAGAUUUAAUCGUCAUUUAAAAUGGUUGUUGUGUGAUCUAUUUCUAAUUGUAUUCAAACAUGAAUAUUAUUUUCUUUAUCAUAUAAAAAUUAAUUAGUGAUAUAAAAAGAAGUGUGAAAAAGAAUAUUAAUUUUUUUCUAAAAAAAAUUAGUAGCAUAUUUUGUAUUUUUUUACACGUCAUCAACUUAAAUAAUAGAAGAAACAUAAUUUUAAUUUCCAUUUUAAUUUUUAAAUAAUUUUAAUUACCAAAUUUAAGCAAUCAUAAAAUUUCUCAUGUUCAAUAUAAUAUUCUCAAAAAAAAAUAUUCAUAUGAUAACUUAAAUAAUAUACUAAGAAAUAUGAUUUAUUCUUAUGCAGAUCCAAUACUAAAAUAAGAAAAAAAAAUAUUUUUGAUCACAAUAUAAAAUUGCUUAAAUCAAUGAAAUUUCAUUUUAAGAAAAUAUUAAUCAUUUUUUUAAUACUUUAAAUCAAAGGUAAUUAAAUUUGGUUUAAUUAGUCUUCAAAUUUUAACUAUUAUUUAAAUCAAUCCUUUCGUUACACCUUUGUUAAGUAAAUGAUAGCAUAGCAAGCAAGGAGGUACAAGCAGUAACACUCUCACAAAGAUAAAGAUCUUUAAGCCAUCAUUUUUUUUUCCUUUUCUUUUCUAUGAACUGUCAUUUCUUAUCUCUACAUGGAAUGUCUAGAAGUUGAAAACUUGAGCUUUCUUUAACUAUACUGCUUUCCAUUUUGGCGAACUGCUUUUCUUUCUCAUAAUGAACUUUCCACUAUUCCAAUGAUGGUUCAACAUUAAUAAUUCUUUAUCUAUUUUGUCUAAAAAUUUCCAAUCACUUUUUGUGAGUGGUGUGAAUGUCAUGCAGACAAAUGAUGUUCAAGCUCCACUUUUUCCAUUCAUUGCAAGUUGUAAGCAGAAUGUAGAAUGUACGUAUAAUAAAAUAAUGAGAAUGCCAACUACUAGUACGUAGUACUUAAUUAAAACAAAAGUAUCAAAAUUAGAACGAAAAUAAAUUUGAUGCUGUUAAUACAUGAGUUUAAUUUUGAUACACAGUGUAAAAAUUUAAAUUGUUAAUUAAUUAGAAAUCACCUAAUGAUUUGUAAAACAAUUACUAAAAAAAGUUUCAUUUGAAACUUAGUCUUCCACCCGUCUCAAGCUCUCCACAUGAACACUAAGCUCUUGACAAAAAUAAAUAAAUAAAUAAAUAACCACGAGAAAUAAUAUAUAACUCUUUAGUGGACAAUUGGUGUUCUUUUGUGCAUUCAGUUGAAGGAAGUUCCCAGAAUGGUAGAAAGCAAGGGACAGAUGAAACGGCCACAGCUAAGAAUAGUGCAUCUUAUAUCGGGAAGAGAUUGUUAGAAAGUUUGGUUGCAGUUGCAGGGCUUCUAAUUUGGCUUUCAUGAGCAUUACUCAAAUACUACCUAUAUAUUACCACUUUCAUAUCACAAAAUGUGUUGCCUUAUAAAAUUCAAAUAUUCUAUUAUUACUUGCAGUUUGAACCCAUAAUUAAUUUUAAAAUAUCAAUUUUUUAUUAUUCCAAAUAAAAGAAAUGAAAACAAAAUUGUCUAGUCUCCUAGACAAACCACUUCCCACUCCACCAAAUUCAUAUCAAGGACCCCACUUUUUCCACUUGAACCAUAGACUACUCCAUCAAGUCCAAGUCAAUGUCCUUCAUUUUUUCAUCUUGAACCUUAGGACACUCCACAGCCAACCAUAUUUAGGUCUCUAUCUUCUUCAACAUGAACCAUAGGUCACUACAUUACCUUCAUAUCAAGUUCCUUAUCAUUGACAACAAAUGUUUAGAAUUAAGUAAGCAAGGAAAAAAAUUAUAAAUGAUGAAUACAUCAAUUAUAGGAAAAUGAUCUAAUUUAAAGACUAUUUCGGUUAAAAAAUCUAUAUAAAAAAAGACUCUUUCGUUUCAAUCUAACUAUUUAAUUUUGAUCUAUUUUUUAAUUUACAAAAUAAUAUUAUUCUUAUAUGUGAAAAAAAACUAAUUUUCAUUGUCAUUAAUCGGAAAGAUUGUUGUGUCGUCUAUUCUAAUUGUAUCUUAGCCUGAAUAUUAUAUUCUUUUUCAUUAAAAAUUAAUUAGUAAGAUACAAAGAAGUGUAAAAUGCUUGUUUAACUUGGUCUACCAUAAUUAUUGAGAUCAUAACUUUUUUCUUUUAUAAGUCUUGGUCCAAAUUUCUCCAUAUAUUGUAGAUCAUAUUUAGCUUAAAAAGUAAAUUAGAGGAUAUGAUAUACCAAGAAGUGUGACAUGUUUUUUUAAAUUAUUUAUCUAUGGCCUUAGCUAUUUUAUUGUUAGACCACAAGUCUUCAUAUAUUAAAGUCUUUGUCUGAAUUUCAUUUACUUGUGUGGUGAUAUUUUAAGAAUAGUGAUAGAAGAGAAAAAUAAAUAUAUAAUUUAUUGAAAUAUCUAACUUAUGAAGAUUUGCAUUCUUAAUGCAUAAGCUUUUCAGUUUAUAUAUUAUCAUUAUUUGGAAAUAUUAAUUUGUUGUGUUAAUUGUCUAUUUCUAAUUAAUUUGAAAAUGAAUCUUAAUUUUUUAUCAUAAAAAUUAGUAUCAUAUUUUUUAUUUUCUUUACAAGUUAUCAACUUAAAUACUAAUAGGAGCAACAUAAUUUUAAUUUCCAUUUUAUUUUUUAAAUAAUUUUAAGUGUCAAAUUUAAGCAAUCAUAAAAAUACUCACGUUCAAUAUAAUCUUUUUAAAAAAUAAUUCAUGAGAUCACUUAAAUAAUCUACAAAAAAAUAUAAUUUAUUCUUGUGCCAAAUAAACAACAAAAGAAGUCUUGCAUUAUUAAAUUCAAGUCUUCUAUUACAUGAAAUUUGAACCUAUAACUAAUUUUAAAUGAUCAAAUUUUUAGUAUUCAAAAUAAAAGAAAAGAAAAAAAAAUUGUCUUCUAGACAAACCACAGACAACUCCACCAAAUCCAUAUCAAGGUCCCCACUUUUUCAACUUGAAUCAUAGGCCACUCCAUCAAAUCUAUGCCAAAGUUUCUUAUCAUUGACAACAAAUGUUGAGAGUUAAGUCAAGCAUGAAAAAAAAUAGGGUAAAAUAUAUCAUUUCUAUCCCUAUAAAAUUUUAAUGUGCUACUUUUUUUUUUUAUCCUGAGUUAAGUUUGGAUGAUAGAUAAUUAUCAUGUAUUCUUAGAUUUUGGUGUCAUUUUAGGAUAUUUAUGUGAUAUAUGUCUUUUAUGCUUUUUUAUUGUCAUGAACUAAUCUUCUCUUUUGUUGGAGUUGAAUAUAAUUGGUUCAUUUUUCAUGUAAUGACUAUUUUUUUAUUGAAUAAAGCAUUCUAAUUGUUUCUCUUCUAUGUUUAAUAUGUGUUUUUGGCUUAAUCACCUUGUUUGUAUGAUUUUUUUUAUUCAAUUGUAAUUAAAAAAUUCUUUGAACUACGAAUUGCAAAAAACACCUAAUAAUUUUUAUGUCUAGGAAUAAGAUAAAAAGAAUUGAGCAUCAAUAAACACUUUAUCUUAAUGAAAAUCAUUUAGUUAUAUUAAUUUAAGGGAUUGAUAGUGUAAUCAAGGGAUUUAGGUCUCUUCACUAGGAAUUAAAGUGAAGAUAAUAUGAUGGGUUUAUGAUAAUAUAACCUUUAUUAAAUAUGAAUGUGUAGUUAUUAGGUGAUAGAAACUUCAAUGAAAUUAAACGCCAACAAUUUUUUCAUUGAUUUAACCCCAACAAUUACAUGGGGUGUUUGUUAAAAUUCCCAAACAAUUUUUUUUCCUUAAUUUUUUUCUUUUAUUUUCUUCUUUAGUUUUCUUAUUUUUAUUUCUUCCUUUAAUUUCUUUAUCUUUAUGCAUAUUGUUAUUUAAAUCAAAUUAGCUAAUGUUAAUUAAUUUCAAAUAUUCAUAGUAUAGAAAUUAUACUUUUUAUUACCCAAUUUUAUUACCCAAUUAUUGCCUAAGUCCUGUUAAUGAGUAUUAUAGAAAAAAUGCACGAAUAGCGAGAGAAGGAAGAUGUGGAAGGGUUUAGAAACUGCAGAAUCCUAUGCAAGCUCCAACUUUCUACACUAAUUAAAUUCAUUCAGGCAAAUUCUAAGUUACACGUUGCGUAAAACAAUCUUCUUAAAUCCAAUCACCGAGUGUGUCAUUCCAGGUAUUUUAAUGCUAAUCAUUGUUAGUGCACAGAUAGUAGAAGACAAUAAUGCGUCAUAAAUACAAAACAGAAUUUGAUGCUCAAGUCUGAAGCUCGUCUAGUUCUCUUAACAUUAAGAACAUUUAUUACCAAUGAAAGCAAAACAAACAGACACCCCAUACGAACAUGUACAUAGUAUGGUAAACCUUUUCACAUUUUUAAUGGCUAGACUAACACGUUGUAAUGUCUCUCACUCCUAACAGUUAACAUGUAAACUCACAAUUUCCCAAGUAACCUUCUUACCUUCAAAACUAUUAUCACAUAAAUCAGAUCUCUCAAGUGGUCAAGAUAAUGAAAAUAAGCACGCCUCCAAGUUCUGUUGAAGAAAACAACACUGCAAAACCCCCAAAAUCCUGCUGCAAAUCCAACUCCCAUACCCAUAUAAAACUCUGAUGUUCCAAAGAAAUUACCAUCACCGUGUCAAACAGAAGCAGUCUCUGUCAACUCUUCCUUGUCUGUGCAAUUUUUUGUUACAGGAGGACCACAAAGCUCAGGAUUUCCAGUGUAGCUAAGUUCUUCAAAGCUCUGAAGUUGGGUGCUCGUGGGAAUUCUGCCUGAUAAGUUGUUGUAUGAUAGAUUCAGGACACUGAGGAAGGACAAAUCAGAUAAACUUUGAGGGAUUUGACCUGAAAUGUUGUUUAGUGAGAGAUCAAGGGAUUCUAACAAUUUCAUUUUUCCCAUGUCAUUUGGUAUCCCUCCAGACAGAUGAUUUCUAGACAAGUUCAAAAACCGCAAAGCAGAUAGCUUGGAAAUUUCAGAUGGAAUUGCUCCAGACAGCUUAUUACUUGAAAGAUCAAUCAUUCUCACCAAUAUCAAAUUGUCUCUGUACUCUAACUCAUCUCCUUUGGGAACUAAGACAAGAGUUUCCUUGUAGUGGUUAUAACUGAAGUCAGAGCCAUAUGAAUAACUUGAAGGGUUUGCAAAGAAGUCAUCUUCACCAGCCAUUGUUUUCAUGUCAUCCAAACAAUUUGGAAUGGAUCCUGACAGGCUGUUAUUGCCAAGAUCCAGCACUAUAAGGGAAGAAAGUUGACAAAUCUUUUCAGUGAAUGCUGCCAUUGAAAUUGUUGGAUCUUAGACGAAGAACCAUUAGAUAUUGCAUUUCCCACAUCCAAUCUGGUAUUGUGUCAGAAAGUUGGUUAUUGCCCAUGUCAAUGAAUUUCAUUGUAGAGCAAUUUUGCAGUGUUGAAGGAAUAUAUCCAGAGAAGCGGUUGUCGUCUAACAACAAAGACUCAAGUUGAGAUAGAUACCCCAUGGAGUUUGGAAUAACACCAGACAAAUUGUUACUACCCAAGUUCAAAUGCACCAAAGCUUGCCAAUGCACCCAACAGUGACCAAGAUCACCAGAUAAGACAUUAUUUGAAAAAUCAAGCACACUUAAAUUAUUAGUAGCAUUUUCCUUUCCACAUAAAAAGGGAGAAAUUGUUCCGGAAAUUGAGUUAUUGGCAACAUUCAGCACUUCAACAUUUGCAGACACACUUGGCAAUGUACCCUUGAACAAAUUAGAACUCAAAUUUAUGAGGCUGGAAUUGAGAAAGAUGUUAGAUAGGUCUCCACUUAACAGAUUGUUGGACAGAUCCAGGAAUUCAGUUUGCAAAGUCCAAUUCCAAAACCAACUUGGAACCAAGUCUGCAAUACCUGCCUUAGACAUUGUCAAAACCUUCACAGAACUUUGCCUUUUUAGUCAUUCUGGAAACUUAGGACCUAUUCCAAAGGAGCUCAGUAAAACAUAUUCAAGCUGAAAAGGAGGAACCCAUCCAGAGUUGACACUGAGGAACAAGUUUGUCCAAGACAAACGUAGUUCCUUUAAUUUCAAAAGUUUUACAAAAUUUGACUCUUUUAUAGAUCCUUCUAACAAAUUAGAUGAAAGGUCUAACAUCACUAAAUUUGAGAGAGUUCCAAGAGUUACAGGCAUAUCACCAGUCAAAGAAUUAGUUCCAAGAUUUAAUACCUGCAGGUUUCUGAGGAACUCAAAACUCUUAGGAAUGGUUCCAUUCAGUCGGUUGUGAGCCAGGUUUAAAGUUCUCAAGGAUGACAAGUUUGCAAAUGGUGAGGGAAUUGGACAAGUAAAGGUAUUAUUACUGAGAUUUAGAACUUCAAGAUGCUUAAGCUGGCCUAAUGAAUCUGGAAGUGGCCCACUGAGCUGGUUGUUCUGCAGGUCUAGAUUUUUUAUGUUCUGAAGGCUUGAUAUUAUUUGUGGAAUUUGUCCCUGUAAAAGGUUACUGUGUAAAUCAAGUUGGACAAGAGUUGUGCUGAGGUUAAAUAGCCAUGAAGGGAUUUGCUGAUUGAGAUUGUUAAUUGAAAGAUCAAGGACUUGGAGAUGUGUGAAGUUGGCUUUUCGUUUUGGUGGUCCUAAGUUAUCAAUUUGACAGCUCUCCAAGUGUAGUUCUGAAAGAGAUGGAAGUGCACUCAGUACUUGAAGCCAGUUACCUUGUUUAUGAAGGUCUGAACCACUCAAAUCAAGGUACUCCAAGGAAGAUAGCCUUGAUAUCCAAUUAAGGUUAUCUAUCUGAAGAGCAUAAUUGUAUCCAAGAUUAAGGUGCUGCAGGUUUGAGAGGUUUCCUAGUUGAUGAGGGAUUAAUCCCAUGAACCCACUUAAGCUAAGGUCCAAGUAUCUCAGACUCUCCAAUGAGCCUAGGAAGCUUGGUAUUGGAGUAAGAACAAAAUAAUUUGAACUCAAGUCCAAACGAUUCAAAUAUUUUAGUUCAAGCAAAGAAGGACUAAUCUCUCCACUCAACUCCCUAUAGGGAGAGCCCGCAGGUGUGUCAAGAUUGAUUUCCAUGACUUUACCUGUGUUGUUGCAGUGAACCCCUGGCCAUGUACAGCAAUCCGAUUUGUCAGACCACGAUGAAAGCCUGUUUGAAGGGUCUGCUAGUCCAUGCUUGAAGCUGAGGAGUGCAUUCCUUUCCUUCUCGCUGCAAGUCAUAUUGAGCCUUGCUGCCUUGCUUGCACUGAAGUGGAGAGUUGUUGCAGUGGACAAUAUCAAGAGAAGAACAUGAGUUGCAUAUAGCACUGCCAUGAAGAAGAAGGAAAACGAAAAAGGUUGAAUCCACAAUUUUCUGGUUCACGGUUGGUAUUUACUACUAACAAUGCCUAUAUAGGAUAUAUACCAUAGAAGGGUUUGCAUUUAAAAUUUUAUUCCACUAAUGGUGGUGGUUGCAAAAUGCACACAUAUGUAGAGGUAUAUAUGUCUACAAGGAGACAUUUAGGAUUAAAAGUGUCUAACCACACCACCAUUAUUUUGCUCUAGUUUAUUUUAUUUUGAUUUAAUUACCCUUUUAGUCCUUAUAAUUGUGAUAAUUUUUUUUAGUCUCUAUAGUUUAAGACAUUCAUUUUGGUUCUUAUAUUUACAAUUUUUUUUAUCUUUUGGUCCUCGAGGGGAAGAUUCAACUCACACAUAAACAUGAACAAAAUUAAUAAAAAUAGGGAAGCAAGCUCAGGUACAAAUGAAGUGUAAUGGAGGUAUGAGACAAAGCCACUACACAUUCCAUUAUUCUUGAGUCUGCCACCGACCUCUGCAAGCUUAGCAUUUGCCAAUUGCCAUGAUGUAAUCUCGUUCUUGACAGUCUCUCAUCAAGUUGGAGUGGUAUCACAGCAUUGAACUAAGUUGAUCGUUCCAUGGGAUGAUGGUUUUGAUUGCUGCAGAUAAAGUGUGUGAUUGUGAGUUUCUGGUCCCAUGAGUUAAACUAUAAGGAUUAAAAAAAAUAUUGUCAUAACUUUAAGGGCGAAAAAGAUAAUUAAACCUUUUAUUUUUUUUAACAACGGGUUAUAUAUAUGUAGCAGUUUAUUCUAAACAAUGGACUACGUGUGAAAUCUUUGAAUUCUAUGUAAGAAAUGUUAUUUCAAACUUCUCAUCAGUCUUCAUGUCAAUGAUGACAUGCUCCAUUUGAAUUCUAUGUCUAAUUAAGCUCUCGGUCUUCGUUUUUGCAACUUUAUUUCGUAGAAAGAAGCCAAAUUUGAAGAUACAACAUUUGAUACUAUAACUGUUUGGUGUUUUGAAAAUCUCACUCACAUAUUUCCAAAUGUUACAAAAGAAUUUGAUUCAGUGGUUAUUACGAAUUCCUUCCUAGCCUUUUUUACCAAGUCAGGGAAUUUGCAUUGUUGUGCAUGAUGGCUGCCACAAGGACCCUUGUACCAACCCAUUAGUGCAAGUGGUUUUUUCUUAUGAGAAUUGAGAAACAAAUUAUAUGUGUUUUAUUAAGGGAAUUCUAUUAUUUUUAAUUUUGAACUUGUAAUGUUUUUUGUUUCCCUCACAGAACAAGUGAUGAAACUCUUGAUGAUCGACGCCAUACGUACGCCUACUUUGAUGCUCUUUUUUCACACCACUUUUAUCUUAAUGGUAUCUCAAGUUGACAAUCAUAAAUUAAAAUAGCUAACUAUAGUUGAUUAGUAGAGACAAACAGCUCAAAGAUAAAGAUCUUUAAGCCAUCAUUUUUUUUUCCUUUUCUUUUCUAUGAGCUGUCAUUUCUUAUCUCUACAUGGAAUGUCUAGAAGUUGAAAAUUACUUGAGCUUUCUUUACCUACUGCUUUCCAUUUUGGCGAACUGCUUUUCUUUCUCAUAAUGAACUUUCCACUUCCAAUGAUGGUUGAACAUUAAUAAUUCUUCAUCUAUUUUGUCUAAAAAUUUCCACUCACUUUUUUUAGUGGUGUUAAUGUCAUGCAGACAAAUGAUGUCCAAGCUCCACUUUUUCCAUUCAUUGCAAGUUGCAAGCAGAAUGUAGAAUGUACGUAUAAUAAAAUAAUGAGAAUGGCAACUGCUAUAAGUACUACUUAAUUAGAACAAAAGUAUCAAAAUUAAAACGAAAAUAACUUUGAUGCUGUUAAUAUAUGAGUUUAAUUUUGAUAGAUAGUGUAAAAAUUUAAAUUGUUUAUUAAUUAGAAAUCACCAAAUGAUUUGUAAAACAAUUAGUAAAAAAGUUAUAAGAAAUAUAUAUAUAAUUAAUUAAUUGCAAAUGAAAGUGUAUUUAAAUUAAAUUCUUAAUUAACAUAUCCUUAUUGUGAUAUUUUGUAUAUUUUUUAUUUAAUUGAGACAGUGGAAUGAGACCGCACUAUAAUUUUCAUCACGGGUUGUAUUGUCUAAUAUAAUAGGGAUGGUUGGUGAGGAAUUUUGGAAUGUUAGUUGGUUUUAGACUAUAUAUCCUCUUGUUCAGUUUUCACAUUCUCAUUAGAGUUAAGUUGCUUUUGGGGAAGAACCAAUGUCUUGAAAUUCCCUCUUCACCAGAAGCAGUUUUAUUGUGUCUUUAUCGAAGUCAUCUUCUCCAGAGACUUGCCUUUAACUUUGAAGAUAGGAAAUAGAUCAGUCAAACAUUGUUUCAGUUUAUUUGGAUUUUAUUUUAAGGACAUGUGAUUUACAAAGACUUCUUACAACUCACAACCUUUGGAAUUUCUCUAUGCCUGGUUAACCCACAAUUUCUGGCGCCUGUUGCGGUUAGGAACAUAGGCUAGCAAAAACACUAAUCAUUUCAAGAGAAAUGUUAACACACUUUUCUAAUAUAUUAUUUUUUAUAUUAAAAUUUAUUAAAAUAAAAAAUUCAGCUGAUCUCAUAUUUUAUUUAGCAAAUUUUUCCCAUAUAUUAAGUCUUAGGUUUUUAAAAUUAUAAAGCUAAAACUAAAAUGUUUUACUAAAUGUAUUUUAAAGUAAAUUUUACACACAAAAAUAUUAUGAUUUUAUAAAAAUUGUUUGGUCAAGGGAGACAUAUUGAGCCAUAGAAAUACUAAGUUAUGGGCAAGAUUUUGAUAUACUAUAACCUUAAUUUUUACAAUAAACCUAAAUGUCUAAAUAUCAUAACUCAACCAUGCGACGAAAUGACAAUGUGUUAAUUUUGUUGUGUCCUCAACCAUGCGUAUGCCUCAGGCCGAGGGAAUUCUCACACACCACUCCUAACAAUUUCUAAGGAAUUCCACAACGUGUCUAUGCUUCAGACAACAAUAACGUACCAAAUAAACAAGUAGCAUCUAAUAAUGUUAAAAUAAGCACACAUAUAUCGAGCCAACCAACGUUGGAGGUAGAAGAACAACAAUAAUAUCAAUAUUUAAUUUCAUUUAGUGUUAAUUUAUUCGGAACUCAACGUAAAAUAACAAUUUAAUAGAAAACAAACAGAGUAUUUAUUAAGAAUAAAAAUAUAUUUAAUUUCAUUUAGUGUUUAAUAGUGUUUUGGUCUAUGUUUUUUUUUUUGUUUUUUUAUAGUUAUUUCUUUUCAAAUUUGAUGACAACAUUGUCAUUGGGUCCUUCUACCCUUCACAUCAGCAAAUUGGACACUAAAGAGACUCGGUCAGAAACAAAUAACUACUAGGGGUACAAUAACAUGAGAGGAUUUAACACUUUUGGAGUAGGAAAAUGUACUUUAAGAAAAGAAAAUUAUAUGUUUAUCCAUGAACACUAAGCUCUAGAGAAAAAAAAAACCACGAGAAAUAGUAUAUAACUCUUUAGUGGACAAUUGGUGUUGUACAAAAUUGAAAUGAUCCAGACUAAGUCAACAAACUGGUCUUCUUCAUUGAACUCACAGUGAAACCACAGAAUUUAUUUUCAUCUGCUAGUUUCCUUCCCAAUUCCCAUGUUUUCUAAAACAUAACACACUACAGAACCUUCUAAUAAAUUAAAACAAAAAAAUCAAUAUUUUACAUGUAGCACCACAACCUAACAAUUUCUACCUACAACUUUUUCUAUAGACUAUAAUAUAAUCUAUCUCCACUCAAUCAUUCAUCAAGAUUGAAAAAUGGAUUCAAAUGCUUGUCUACCACACUUGCUAGUGUUAGCAAUAACAUUGGUAUUGGUUAGUCAUGCAAUGGGAGAUUCAGCUAAAGACAAGUGUUGUCUCUUUGCCUUUUAAGUUGUACAUAGUUGCAAAACAGGUAUAUGUGAAAGAAUAAUGCUUAUUAAAGGUAAGGUUGAUUUUAAAGUGGGCAUGCAAGAAUGCAUUCAUUAUCUCAAGUAAAUAAAUUCAAGCGAAUAUCUGAUUUGGAUUAGAGAAUAGUAUUAUCCAGUGCACACUAAAUUGGAGAGAUUCCCAACAUGUGGUUUCAAAACUAAAAGUACUUACCAACUAUUUGAAUUUUAAUCUACGUGAUCUAGCUAAUGUUUUCUAUCAGAGAAUUACAACUAGUUGAUCUUAAGAACAAAACUAUACUAAAUAUGCAAAUCUUUACAUCUAAAAACAGAAUUUAAAUAAGGCUCUCAAAUUUGAAGAAAAAAAAGAAGAUAGCAAUGACUACAAAUUGAUCAAUCUGCCAAUACAAUGAUAAAACAUCGGUUUAUUCUAAGCAACACUAAAAAGGGAUACUACAUUAGCAAAAAGAUUGAAAUUAUUGACCAUGCAGUAUGAAUGUACAGCAUUAUUUAUUUAAUUUUUCUAAUACGAUUUUAUUUUAUAUUAAUACAAAAACUCUCACAAAACAACUUCUUAACUACUAGUUAAUUACUACUUUUAUACAUAAAAAAACUAGUUAAUUACUACUGCUACAUAGCAGAAAUUCCUUAAUUCUUCGAGAAUUAUAUUCCUUAAUUUCACGUGGUUUGCCUCAGUUGUUUGCCGCAGGUUUCAGUAUAUCCUUAGGAAUCGUCGAUUGUCAAAUCGUUGUUAAAUAACGGCGCUAUAUAUAAUUUUAGUAUUUUGACGUUUUUAAAUGAAUUUCUUAUUUAUGAUUAUAUAUUUACAAUUUUUAAUUUCACUUAAAAAAAAGAGUUUUUUUGGAUUUACAGAGAAAAAAAAUAGAGUUUUUAGUUAACACACUGUUACUAUAUAGUGCGGAGACAAUUACCCCACAAGCUUUUCAUUAACUUGUCAUAAUAUAAUAUAUGUGAAUACAAACUGUCCCUAUAAUUUAAAAUAAAAUAAAUGAAAAGUCAAUAACUUUAUAAGUAUUGUCUCCACACAUAUAUAUUAUCCUAUAACUUACAAUUUUAAUAUUUAUUAUUGAUAUUCUUAAUUAACUAAGUAAAAAUAUUUUUUUUAUAAUUUUUAAGAUAAUUAUUAUAAAUAUUAAUAAAUUUAUUAUAAAUAACAUUUUUAUAUGUGUAAGUGCAUGUAUAUUAUUUAUUGAAAUAUUUUAUUUGAAUUUUUCAUUAAAAAUACUAAAUUUAUUAACAUGAUAUGUGCCUCGUUAGAGCAGUGGUUUAAUUAAAUUGGAUAGUGAGAACUGAAUUGACGACAGAUUCUCUUUCCAUAUGUGAUGAAAGAGUUGUACGAAAUCUUUAUGACAUCAACCCCCAACAUGAGUGGCCCAGUGGACAAGCCCAUCAAUCUAACAUGUCGGUUGAUAGCACUUGCAUAAACUUUUGUUCCUUGCAUCAUCUCAUGUGUCUCCAUUCUCCAUUCUCUGCUUCCACUCACGAUUAAACCUUAUUGAUUAGGGUUCAAUGAUUUUUCAAUGAAUAAAAUUAAUUUUGAAUUCUUGAUUCUAACAGCUCACGUAUAGUCUGUUGAAUCAAAUGGAUUAGACUCUUGAUAUCAUAAAGAAAAUUAAAAUUUGAUUCUUUGUGUAAAAUAAAGAAAUCUAAUUAAUUAUGCUUGUUAUGUUACUAUAUCAUUUUUCCGGUGUGGAAUAACAUCAAAAUCAAAGUAAUAAAGUUACUUGCAUGUUACUCUAACCAUAAUUCCAGUUAAGUCGAAUAUGGUUUCAUGUUUUGUAAAACAAUUUAGAUCCCCUUUAUCAAAGUGUGUCUGUCUUCUACACAAGUUUUUUCACUUUAUUCUAUUUCCCCAGAAUCAAUUGUUGUGUUAUUCAUGCUAUUAAAUUAGUUCGAUAACUACCAUGUCGAUCAUUGUUAGUUUUGUUUCCACCAUUGUUGGGAAUACGUAUAUACUAUUACUUUAUGAUUAAACGUGUUACUUAAAUUGCAGAAAAAAACUCUUUAUAAUGAAGUACAAUUGUUUAUAACUACAACAAUUAUAUUGAGUCAAUUUAACACUCAUCAAAGGCAGAAAAGCUUUACUUUAAGAUUAGACAGAGGCUCAUACCAAUCAUGGCGGUGGUUAUAAUUAGACACAUCAGCAACUGUAAAAGAUCUUGCACGGCCACAGAAAAAAAAAAUGCUUGAUGCACAUCUGAUAAACUCACUCAAGGUCUAUGUAUUAAUAGUGUAAAAGAGAGACUGAAUAUUAAAUGAUAAAAAUAUAAAAUAAUUGUUUUGUAUUGGCAGAGUACACAUAUAUAUGCCCAAAUGUAGAUUCAAAGUUCAAACAUUUUGGGACUAGAUCAUCCCUCCUAGUCAUAGCCAUCUGAAUUGGAUCGACCCCACCCCAAGGUUUGUGUUGCAUCACUUGCAUGCAUUCACCCACCACUGUUGUUGUUAUAGUUUUCUCGUGAUUUUUGUAUUGGAAAAUACUAUGGACAAAUAUAAUUGAUACAGUCAUAAUUAAUUAUUGUCAUGUUGCAAUUACAAAGACUCCUCAAAGAAAAUGUUUAGUAAAUCAUGAUCAAGUAGAAAUUGCAAUGGCAAACUGUUUUUUAAAAUCUUAUUAGUCAGUUGUAUAAACCCAAAUUUAGUUAUAUCCAGGUAUGUAAUAUUUGCCAUUUUAGUGCUCUGUUUGGAAAUUUGCGUGUCGAAUUGUUUUUUUUAUACGUACCUACACAACACUCUUUAGCCAAAUACCACUGUUCAUGGAAAAAUCUGUCCUGAAAGGAGUAUAGAACCAGAAACAAUAUGCGUGGUGGUAUCUAUCAUUCUGAAAAAGAAAAAAAGUGGGAUUCUUACAAUAGUAGGACUGUGACACUACUAGAAAAAUCUAUGCACCUUUGAUGUCCCUAAAUUUAUGAACAAAAGAUUCAGGUGUCGUUUAUUGAAUUUGUUUUAUAUGGAGUGUAAAGUCAUAUUCAAUACUAAUAAGUGUAUGUUUAUAUAAUUCUUUUUAAAAUAAUUACUCUUCUUUAUUUACAUCUAAUAAAAAUGUUAUCACAUUAAAAUUUUUAAAAUAAGCUAAAUGAAGCAUGUUUCAUAAGAAAUUAACUUUUACUGUAAUUGAUACAUUUUUUAGUGACAAAGGGAGAUGGGUGAAGACGGUGAAGGAAAAAAAAAUGAAGAUAAUGUCUAUGUUGUUCAAAUAACAGUAUUAAUUGUAUUAAAAUAGUUAAUAUUAAAAAAUAUAUUAGUAAAUAUAACAUUGUUGUGUUGGUGCUAUUUAUUGUGCAUCAAAAUAUGUAAAAAUAAUAAUUAACUUAUAAUUUGUAUAGUUGGUAUGGGUUGUUUUAUCUAUCCUGGAUUUUGUUGAAUCACACAUAUAAUCAUUUAUAUAUAUAUAUGGGCUACUAUUGUCACUACCAAAAAUGCUAUGGAGACUACCAAAGCAUUUGAAAUUACUUGGUUAUCCUUAGUUCCAAUUCCCCACACCUCCUAUCCUUCCCCUCCUUACGUUCAGCUACUCUCCUUCUUUACAUACAAAAACAGAAUUUAAAUAAGGCUCUCAAAUUUGAAAAAAAAAAGAAGAUAGCAAUGACUACAAAUUGAUCAAGCUGCCAAUACAAUGAUAAAACUUCGGAGUAUUCUAAGCAACACUAAACAGUGAUACUACCUAAGCGAAAAGAUUGAAGUUUGAACCACACAUGAUCAAGGAAAUGAAAAUAGGCAUACCGCCAUGAUCUACAAAUCAGCAAAGGAGCAAUCACUAUCCAGAAUCCCACAAUAAAUCCAAUUGUCAUACUGACAAAAAACCAAUUCACUCCAUGCCCAUCACUUCCUUCAUAACUAUGGGUUUUCCCAUUGGAGCUGCAGUUUAUGGGCAGUGGUGGACCACAUAGAUUGUUGCCGAUGAAGCUGGAGGCAUCAAAGGUUUGCAAUUGAGUUCCUGUUGGAAUAUUUCCCUUCAAAUGAUUGUAUGACAAGUCUAGCAUGCUCAGAAAGCUCAAAUUUGCAAUGCUUGGAGGGAUUUCACCAAAAAGUUGAUUCCUCGAAAAAUCAAUGGACUGUAAUGAUCUCAUAUUACCUAUACCUUGUGGAAUAUGACCAAUCAAUUGGUUGUGGGACAUGUUUAAAAAAUUCAAUCCAUUUAGAUAUGUGAUUUCUCUUGGUAUUUCCCCAAAUAACUUGUUACUUGACAGAUCAAUGCUUGUUACCAAACCCAGAAUGUUUCUGUACUCAUCUCCUCUUCCUUUCAGCCAUAGUAGCACACUAACUAUACUUUCCAUCGACGUACCAUGUUUUCCUUGAGAAUAGAUACGAGGAUCUGUACUUUGGUUCUUUAGUGUCAUGGCACUCAAGUUACUGAAACAGCUCGGUAUAUUGCCAGACAGAUUGUUUUGUGCAAGGUCUAAAACCUGAAGAUGACUCAUCUGACAUAUUUCACUUGGAAUGUGUCCGGCAAAUCUGUUUGAUCGAAGGCGGAGGAUUUUCACAUUUAGAUAGGUUUGUAUAACUCAAAUAAAGAUAGACCAAAUUGGAGAGAUUCCCAAUCUGAGAUGGAAUCUUCCCCAUGAAUCCAGUAUAAGAGAGGUCGAGGUGAGU